AGUUGCAAAGAAAUACAUACCAAAUAUUACUGCCCCGAAGAAGAAAGAACAAACAUAAAUAUUUGAUUAUUCUUCUACCCUCCAUGCUAGAAUUGAAUGUGUCUGAAGAAAAGCAACAUUGGCAUAUGCAAACGGGAACCCCUUUUUAGAGAACCCCAUGCAGCUUAUGUACAUAGAAUCAGCUAGAAUCAAAACGUGUAGCAUCAUCACAAUACAUCAUUUUUUCCUAUCUGCUUGGAGAAGGAAAACUUUUCCCCCCAUUGGAUUCCCCCAUUAGAACCCCAAAGCACAUAAAAUAAAAGCCUGACUAGAUAACCUUAUCCUCGCUUAUUAUGCAUCUUCUUCGGGUCUUCCUGCUCUGCAUCUACUAAGCCUACUUUACAUAUGCUUAAAAAAAACCUGGAAAGGGAAGAAGAGUGGUCUUGGUGCCUUUUUUCUUUUUUCUUUUUUUUCAAAACCUUUCAAUAUUUACUCGUGAUAUCCUUUAGCAAAAGAAAGUUGAGGCGUGGCAUGGCAUGGCAUAUCUACACGGGAACCACAUCUUUAUUAUAAAUCUGUAAAUCUAUAAAUCUGUAAGCAGGGAGGAGUAUAUAAAAUUUGUACUAAGUACAAAACUUGAUGGCAAAAGUACAAUAAAUCUUAUGAAGUUGGAGAACUGAAAGGAUAACCAUGUAUUGUCAAAAGAAUCGAGUUGAAUAAAUUACGUGAUCCAGGGUAAUUUAAGAAAUUUCAAUUUGCUACUAUAGUUAAUUGGGACUAAGCAAACGCAUUGCUACUAAGCAACUCUUUGGAGAGACUCCAAAGAGAAUCCAUAAAGAGCAUGAAACUCGAAUGUUUUGCGGUUCUAGAAGUCCGUGAAUCAUUCUCAAAAUAUCAUUGUUAUGAUGUUAAGAGAGUGUUACUGAUAAAUUUUGCGUGUCAUUCUUGUGUUGAAUCUUGAGAAAAAUUAGUGGUGAUAAAAUUUGAUACAAUUUAUCAAUAUUAUUCGAAUUUGACACAUUUUUUGUAAAUUUAGAUUGAUUAUAAUAUUAUUUAAUUAAAUUCGUGUCGACCUAUAUAACUUAUUUAAUAAAUAGAUUAUUUUCUUUAUCAACCUAUAUGACAUGAAUUUGACCCAAAAUGACCUAUUUAAUAACCGUGUUGAUUAAUCAAAUUAUAAUCAUAACCAAUUUAGCUUAUAUUUGAUUGAUUUAAAAUUUGAUUUUGAAUAAAUAGGUCAAUCGGCUAAUAAACAUGUUAGGUUGAGAUGUUAAUCAUAUUGGCUGAAACAAAGAUCUAGUUCGACUUGAUUAUUAAAUGAGACUUAACUAUUAAAUGAGUUAUAUAAUAUAUUACCUGUUUAGUAAUUAGCAUGUUUGGUUUAUAUUUUAAUUUGAUUAUUAUUUGAUUUGUGCUUAAGUUGACCUAUUUAGUCCAAUGCAUGAGUUUUGACAUAUCACAAACACAAUUCACCAACAUGAAUUGUCACCCCUAAAACAAUAAGAGAUUUAUGUAAAUUGAUACAUUUCUAGUAGGGAUGGCAACGGGACGGUUUCAUGAUAGGUCAUCAUCCCAAUCCUGCCUUGUUUAUUCAAAAUAUUUUUCAUCCAUGUCUCAUUAAAAGAAUUAAAUGGAGCUGGGAGGGGCGGCGUGAGUAUGCAAAUUUCUCAUACUCAUUCCGUACCGCUUCAUUUAACCUUUUAAAUAUAUAUAUAUAUAUAUUUCAAAAUAUUUAACUAUAUUAAAAUAUUAUAGUUUUUUAUAACUUAUUUGAUUGAAAGGUAUUUUUUAUUAUUAUUAUUAUUAAAAAUAAGAAAAUAAAAAUUAAUUUAAUUUAAUUUUAAAAAUCAUUUUUAUAUAUAAUCAGGGUGAGGUAAGACAAGACAAUAUCCGAACUUGCCUUGAAUCCAUCAUAGAUUUAAAAAAAAAAAAAUCAAAUCCACCUUUAACCCUUUUAUUUAAAUUUCAAACUUGCCCCAUAAAGACAAGGCGAGGUAGGUACCGCCUCAAUGUCAUCAUUAAUCUCUAACCAAGAGUUUUAAAUUACACAUAUUCAUUCUCUUGCUAGGUAUCCUACAAAGUAUUAAAAAUCUCUUUUUAACGAGUAUUGGCAUAAGAAAUAAAGAAAUUUUUUUGUCAAAAACUCUUUAUACCAUCAAGACACAUCAAGAGGGUAUUGGAAAAAAAAAAUUGUCUUAAUGACUACAUUAACUUUACCUUGAUCAAACCAAGUGUCUUAACCAUAAGAUUCAUGAAUUCAUACAUGCAUGUUUGUGGUUCACAUUAAUGUAUUUUUAUGAUAUUAAUUGGAUUGAUCCUAAAAUAAAUAACUCAAAGGUCAAGUUCCAAAAUUUAUUAUUAAGAAUAAGAUAUGAAGAAUUGUCUAUUAUUGCACUGAUAAAAAAUUUGAUGUUUCAUAGUAGAAAUAAACAUAUAAGUAUCAAAUUCAUUAUAUUAAGGAACUCGUAAAAAAUUAUGAGAUUGAAUUUGGGCUUUGUAGAUCAAAAGAUCAAGUUGCAAAUAUUUUUAUAAAACUAUUAAAAAUUGAUGUGUUCAAGAAGUUGAAAAUGAUGUUUAGUGUGAUUGACCUUACAACUUAGUUUAAAGGAGAAUGUUGAAAUUAUAAUCUAACUUAAAGUCAAAUUAUAAGAAUUUUAGGAAUUUGAGAAACAUUAUAAAUUGUUUAUUUAGGUUUCUUACAUUAAUUAGGAUUUCUAUACUAAUAUGAAUUGGAAUCGUACACAAGUAUGAUUAAUAUAUUAUAAAUAAGUUUGUUAUUAUGUAAAAUAUAUAUAUAUAUAUAUAUAAUAAGAUAUUAUUUUAGCAAAAAUAUUAUCAAUACCCAAUCACGUGGCUUUAAGCAAGGAAUUGGGUCAUUGAGCUCACCACUCCUAUCUACACUACAAAACAAGAAGAUUAGCAAAGAGAGAACUUGUACCCACAGGUACAUGGGACUCUGAUUAAUCAUAGCUUUGAUAUAUAAGAAUCAAAAUGGUUUAGUUCUAGAAAUGGCUUUAUUUGAAUGCACGUUUUUUUUUUUUUUUUUUUUAAUGUUUUGAAAAAAUUAGAAGGUUUUAUAUAGAAAGUAAAAAAAUUUAUUCAAUAGAUAUAGAUUCACCUUAUAUCCUCAAAAAAAUUUUAAAAAUUGAAGUAAAAAACUUUCCAUAUCUCAAAUUUUUUAAGUAGUUUUUAAAAAUUAUUACAUUUUCAAUAGAAGCCCAUAAAGGUUUAAAUUACUUAUAUUUUCUAUUUUUAAUAAUUUAAGAAGAAGAAUUAUUUUAUUAAAAUAGAUGAAAUAAUCUUGAAUCAACAAAAUUAGCCUCUUCCAUAUUUAAACUUAAAAAAUAAUAUAUUUCAACAUAAAUACCCUUCAUUAUUAGGAUUAUUUUCAUAUAAAUUUUAGAAGAAAAUUUUACUUUUAUUGGAAAACAUGAAGAGUAUGUCUUUAAAAAAUUGAUCAAUUUUUUAGACUUUAUAUUUACAAAUUUGAAAUUAUUUUAUCUUUUUUUUAUCAAAUAACCCAAGAAAAAAAUAUAUAUAUAUGCAAAGGAACACCUAAAUUAUUAUUCUUCAACAACAAUUAGAAAAAGUUAAAGAUAUUCAAACAAAAGGUGAUAUACAUGUUUCGUGAAUCUAAAAUGACGAACUGAGAUGAUGUUUAUUUUUUUUACUUGCUUUUAAAUGAAAAUAAAAAUUAAAUAGUACUUAAUAGUGUUAAGUAUUAAAUUAUUUGUUUUCAUAAUAUUUUAUUUUUAUUAAGUAUUAAAAAGUAAAAAAAAAAAUCAACAUUUUAUUUUUUUUAUUUUUAAAAAAAAGUUAAAUAUUUUAAUUUUUUUGUUAAACCAAAAAUUUAAAAUAAAUUAUGAAAAAAAAAAACAAACAAACAACUUAAAAUUUGAAAACAAAUUACUGUCAACAAAAAACUAAAAAAAUAAAUACUUUUAAUUCCUAUUGUAAAACUUUAUUUGUGAGUAACCCUUAUAUUAAAUCAUUACCAUAUGUAAAUUUCAUUCUAAGGCACAAGAUUUAGAGUUGACAAAAUUAGUGUCUAAAAUAGUAAAAUGUCAACGAGUGACACGUCAGCUUUAGGCGACACAUCAUUUAAAAAAAAAUAGGAAAAAAAGGAACGAACAAACGAAAAGGAAACAAUGCAAGAAGCUAGCGAAGAGGUAGUCACAUCAAGAGUAGACGAAGAUGGUGGGUGAAGUGAUGAGCAGAGAGCUGGGAGCUAGGUUCACUUCCAGUGGAAAAUGUCCAAGCUCUUGCUUCGAGCAACUCCGAUGAUAUGCCACUCUGGUACCUCCGAUCGGAGCUCCAGUCAGAAGAAGUUUUGGUGGAUGAGUCUCUCCAAAUUCCUACCAUAGAUAUGAGGAAGCUCAUGGUUGAAGAUGAUGAAAUGGGAAAAGUUCAGUCGGCCUGUAAAGAAUGGGGUUUCUUUCAGGUAUAAUUAUUUUUAUAUAUUUGGUCGAUCCUUGGGAUUUUUGGCAAAUUCAUGUCUUGGGCUGCUUUUAUUUCUUUUAAUAUGUCUCUUGGCUCAAUGAGUACUUCAUUUUAACUGAUAUUGCAUAUAGAGUCCUGUAAACAAUUCUUUUUUGGGUUUUUAAGAAGGGAGGGAUUGGGUUAGAAUGCAUAUUCAUAUGCAGGGCUGAAAGAAAACAAAGUAGAACAAAGUAUUUUGGAAGUUUGGAAAUUUGUUGUGUAUUCAAUCUAUCAAUUAAGGGAAGAAGAUGCAUAUAUACAAAGCAUUGGUUAGCCUAUUCUAGGAAUCUAUGUGCAAACGUAUCAGUUACAAUCAAUAAAAAAUAAUCUUCUAUAUACAAUCAAAUCUCAUCCUCAAAUUAUGGGAUCCUUGAUUCUUUUCCCAUAAUACUCCCCCUCAAGUUGGAGCGUGUAUGUCAAGAACGCCAAACUUGUUGAGAAGGGAAUGAAAAAUUGAUGAACUGAGUGGCUUAGUGAACAAAUCAACAAGCUGGCAAGACAAUGGAACAUGAGCAAUUAUUAUGGCACCUGAUUGAAUUUAUUCUCGAACAACAUGGCAAUCGAUUUCUAUAUGCUUGGUACGUUCAUGGUAAAUUGGAUUAGCAGUAAUAUGGAGUGCUGUUUUUCUAUCACAGAAUAGUUUGGUUGCUUGCGAGUGUUCUACCUGCAAGUCAUCCAACAAAUACUUGAGCCAUGUAAGUUCACACGUAAUGGAAGUCAUUGCUCGAUAUUCUGAUUCAGCUAAUGACCUUGACACUGUUGUCUGUUUCUUGGUUUUCCAUGAAAUAAGAGUUUCUCUAAGAAAAAUGCAAUAUCCAAUCACAGAUCGUCUUGUGAUCGAACAUUGAGCCAAAUCUGCAUCGCAAAAUCCUCUUAGUAGCAAAUUUCCUUUGGCAGGAAAAUAUAAUCCUUGUUUAGGUGCACCUUUAUGAUACCGCAGAAGAUGAUGAACAACAUCCAAAUGAGGCUUUCUUGGUUCUUGCAUAAACUGACUUAAAAUGUGAACUGAAUAACUUAUCUCUGGCCUUGUAAUGGUAAGAUAAAUGAGUUGUCCGACCAAUCUUCUGUAAGUGGAUGGAUUCUUCAAUAAAUCUCCUACCGUGGGCAGGAGUUUAUUAUUUUCUUCCAUAGGUGUCGACAAUGGUUUGGCCCCAAGCAAGCCUGCUUCAUCUAAGAUAUCAAGAGUGUAUUUUCGUUGGGAUAUCGAAAUACCAUCAUUAGAACAAGCAACUUCAAUAUCAAGGAAAUAUCAUAAUUGACCGAGGUCCUUGAUGCGAAAUUUGGUGUGGAGAGACUCCUUAAGAGCUGCAAUUACAUUCUCAUCAUUGUCGGUGAUGAUCAUGUCGUCUACAUAGAUGAGCACAACUAUGAAAGAAUUACCAGAGAUCUUUGUGAAAAGUGAAUAAUCAGCCUUUGAUUGAUGGAAACCAUCUUGUUGAAUGGUGGUAGAAAAUUUCUGAAACCAACUACGGGAGGCUUUUUUAAGCCCAUAUAAUGACUUGUUGAGUCGACAUACCAUAAGUGUCUCUCCCUGUCGACAAAAAUCGGGCGGUAAUUGCAUAUAGACUUCUUCAAGAAAAUCACCAUGGAGAAAGGCAUUUUGAACAUCCAUUUGGUGAAGUGACCAGUGUCGGACAACAGCUAUAGCAAGUAAACAUCGAACUGUAGUUAACUUAGCCAUAGAAGAAAAGGUCUCCUUAUAGUCAAUCCCUUCGCGUUAAGUGAAGCCUUUCACCACCAACCGAGCUUUGUAUCGCUUAACUGUGCCAUCAGAGUUAUAUUUGAUCUUAUACACCCAUUUGCACUCAAUUGGACGAUGACUGGAAGGGAGAGGUGUGAGUGUCCAAGUGUGAUUUUGUUCAAGAGCAUGGAGUUCUACAACCAUAGCUUCCUGCCAUUUUGGAUCCAAUACUGUUUGUUCAUAAGUUGUAGGUUCCACAAGAGUGGUGAUGGCACAAACAAAAUUCUAAUAUUUUGGUGAGAGUUGUGCAUAGGAAAUAUACCGAGUCAAAGGGUGACGUGUACUUGACAAGGAAGAAGAUUGGCUGGAAGCAACCUUGGUUGUGUGGUAAAGAUGAAAAUUCCAGAGUUGGACAUUUGGUUGCUUGAUACGGUUAGAACGAUGAGUAACAGGAGGUGGAGGUGACACAAUGGUGUCAAGAUCAAGUGUACGUUCAUUAGAGGUAGACUCAGGAGAUGAAAGUAAGGGUGGUGGAGACAAAGAUUGAUCAUCGGCUUGGGGUUUGGUUGUCUUUGUGGUUAUGGGUUCAUAUGAGGUUUGUGGUAAAGGAAGAAUGACCAUAUCAUAUUGUUCUUCUUGUGGAUUAUUGUGGAAUGGAAAUAUAUGUUCAUGAAAGACAACAUCUCGGGAAGAAAAUAAUUUAUUAGUUUCAAGAUCAUAAACCCGAUAACCCUUUUGACCAAGAGGAUAACCAACAAAUGUGCAACGACAAGCUCUUUAAUCAAAUUUAUGUGUGGGUAAGAGAUUGGUGGCAUAACAAAGACAUCCAAAAGUUCAUAGAUGAUGAUAUGAAGAUAGCUUGUUAUAGAGAAGUUGGUAUGGCGAUUUGUGAGAAAGAAGGGGUAUAAGUAAGCGAUUGAUUAAAUAGCAAGCCAUUUGAACAGUUUCCCCAAAAAAUUUUAACAGCAAGUUUGCUUGAAAACGAAGAGCUCUUCCCACAUUUAAAAGGUGACGAUGUUUCCUCUCAACCACUCCAUUUUUUUGGGGGGUGUAAGCACAUGAAUGAUGGUAAUUGAUCCCCUUAGUAUCCAAAUACUGCUUCAUAGAGGAAAUUUUAGUCGCAUUAUCGGUUCAAAGAGUUUUAAUGCAACGAUUAAAUUGUGUUUCCACCCAAGAAAUGAAUGAUUACAAUAUUCCUUGUGUUUCAUAUUUAAAACUCAUGAGAUGUAUUCAAGUAUAGCGGCGGGUAUGAUCAUCAACAAUUGUUAGGAAAUAACGAGCCUUGGAAUGAGAAUUUAUUCGAUGUGGUCCCCAAAUAUCACAAUGUAUCAAAUCAAAAGGUGCGUGAGAAGAAAUGAAACUAGAUGAAAAGAACAAACGAGUUUGUUUGGCUAAAGGGCAAAUUUCAUAAACAUGCUUGGAAUCAAAAUAAAUUUCAGGAUUAAUUUUAGCAAGAACUUGAAGAGGACCGGAUGAUGGGUGCCCAAGACGUUGAUGCCAAAGAUCAGAAUGUUUGUGAAUGGUGUAAGCCAAGGCUGGAUUUUGGUCGUGUGCAAGGUAGUAGAGGCCAUUAUGUUGCUUACCCAGGCCAAUCGUCUUCCUCGUAGUAACGUCUUGCACAACACAAAAAUCAAAACUAUACAUUGUAAUGCCCGCGUUAGUUUACUAACUGAUAGUAAAUUAACUUGAAAUUGUGGAACUUUGAGUACAUCAUCAAGUUUAAUGUGAGGGGUAACAUGCAAUGAACCAAUUGACUCAAUAUGUGCUUGACCACCAUCUGGCAAACUAAUGGUAGUGGUCCUGAGCAAAUUUUUCGGAUCUAAUAAUUCAAUUGAGUAAGUUGCAUGAUCCGUGGCUCCACUAUCAAUAAUCCAACACAUAUUUGAGUGUGGCAAUCUGGAGUAAUUUUGGAUGAUGGCAUAUUUAUACUUGUGGCAUUUGCAAAAUGUUGUGAAUUACCACCAUUGUUUUUACGAAUCAUAACCAUUAAUUGGUUAUAUUCCUCAACUGUGAGCCUUGAUCCAUCACUUGUUGGAAGAAAUUUUGUUUCUAUCUCCACAGCCUUAUUUGUUUCCACUUUCACAUUGUUUGCAUUUGAGUGACGUUGAUUGGGAGGCUUCAGGUUCUUCCCAUGAAGCUUGUGGCCAAUUGGAAAGCCAUGUAGGUAGUAACACUUCUCAAUGCUGUGAUAAUCACGGUCACAAUAAAAGCAGUGCAGUGGAGUAUUUUGCUUUUGAACUUGGUGUGCUAAAGUUGCCUUAUUGUCCCGAUCUGCAAGCAUGGCAUAACGAUUCUUGUUCCCAUGACUGAGAGAAACUUCAACCUGUUUUUCUUGUUGAAGGACAAGUGAGUAAACUCGACGUGUAUCAGGUAGAGGUUGCAUCAAUAAGAUUUGUCUACGAAUGACAGCAUAACUAUCAUUCAAUCCCAUGAGAAACUGCAUAACUCUUUUUUUUCAUCCAUUUCCUUAAGUUUCUCUAAUCCUCCAUAAGAGCAGAAUAACACUUCAUGAUAGGAUGAAAGUUUAUCCCAAAAAGCUUUAAGCUUUGUGUAAUAAACCGAAAUUGAUUGCUGCCCCUGCUUAUGUUCCACAAUGUCUCGCUUGAUCUAAUAAAUUCUUGAAUCUUUUCCUUGUGAAAAACGUUCUUGUAGAUCUGCCCAUAUUUAUGUUGCAGUUUCGGCAUAAAUCACACUGUUGGCUAUGUUUGGAUGAAUGGAAUUCAAUAACCAUGAGAUCACCAUAUCAUUGCAACGUUGCCAGGAAGGAAAACUAUCAUCAGUCGAAGAGGGUGGCUUAAUGGAACCUGUGACAAAUCCAAUUUUGUCUUUAGCACUCAAACUGAUUCUCAUAGCCCGACUCCAUGUGCUAUAGUUAUCUCCUUCAAGUACCUUGGAGACAAGUACCAUACCCAGGUGGUUUGAGUGGUGUAGAGAGAAGGGGUCUAAAGCUUUUGUGAUAGCCUUCGAUGAUGUCAAUCCUGUUUUGUUGAUGUCCAUGGCAGUAGCUGUAACGAAGAAAUAGGUUGCGGAAGCGCUUGGAAGAAUUCAGAGUCACCAGGUUUGGUGCUCUGAUACCAUGAAAGAAAACAGAGUAGAACAGAGUAUUUUGGAAGUUUGGAAAUCUGUUGUGUAUUCAAUCUAUCAACUUAAGGGAAGAAGAUGCAUAUAUACAAAGCAUUGGUUAGCCUAUUCUAGGAAUCUAUGUGCAAACGUAUCAAUUACAAUCAAUCAAAAAUAAUCUUCUAUAUACAAUCAAAUCUCAUCCUCAAAUUAUGGGAUCCUUGAUUCUUUUCCCAUAAUAAGGGCUCAUGGUUUUGGUUAAGACUUUUGUAUGGAACCCCAAAGGUAGAACAUAUAGAGACUACCAAGAUGUAGGAAUUUUCUACCAUACAUCCAUGAUAUGGUGAACUUGAAGCUGAGUUCGUUGGAUGGUUUUACUUUAUCCCUUAAUGGGUUGCUGUCUUAUUCUAAAUUGAGCAUAUAUUGUCAUCAAACAGUUAAUAAAUCAUGGGGUAGCAGAAGAAGUAAUUGAGAAAAUGAAGGCAGUUGUUCAAGAGUUCUUUAAAUUGCCACUAAAGGAGAAGAAUGCAUAUGCAAAACUACCAAAUGGGGUUGAAGGUUAUGGCCAACACUUUGUUGUUUCCCAAGACCAGAAGCUGGAUUGGGCUGAUAUACUUUUUCUUCAAUGCCUGCCAGCCUCCGAAAGAAAAAUGAGGUUCUGGCCUCAAGAACCCAUUUCUUUCAGUUAAAUAGAUUAACUCCUCUGAUUACAUGAAUUCUUUUUAUUAAUUUUUUCUACAGACUUUACCGUAUGCUUGGCACAUUGCUUAAGUUUCCACCUUGUAAACCAGGGCAACCUUAGACAAGUAUUCAUCAGAGCUCCAAAAAGUUUCAAUCUGCCUUUUGGAGUUGAUGGCUAAGAACCUUAUGAUUGAUCCUGGGCAGCUCAUGAAUAUGUUUCAAAAGGGAAGACAACAGAUAAGAAUGAAUUAUUAUCCCCCUUGUGUGCAUGCAAGCAAGGUUAUAUAUUUGUGGACUUACCCUUCUUGUUCAAGUCGAUGAAGUACAAGGCUUGCAAAUAAAGAGAAAUGGUAAAUGGAUACCGAUAAGGCCUGUCCCUGGUGCAUUCAUCGUCAACAUUGGCGACAUUCUUGAGGUAUUAAUAUGGUCAUUGGCAACCUGAAAGUUGGACGAGUAAAAUAAUUUAUGGUUUCAUUGAUUGUGAGCAGAUAAUGAGCAAUGGGGAAUACAAGAGCAUAGAGCAUAGAGCGGUGAUGAACCCAGAGACGGAACGCCUCUCCAUUGCAACAUUCUGUUCUCCGAGUGUUGAGACAAUCAUUGGUCCUUUACCAGAGCUUACAAAGGAGAAUAAUGGUGCAAUCUAUAAAUCUGUAGACUGGGAUGAGUAUUUAAAGUUUGCACUAAGUAGGGAACUUGAUGGUAAAAGUGCAAUCAAUCAUAUGAAGUUGGAGAACUGAAAGACCAAUGAUAACUUCCAUUGCCUGAGAACUUUGUUUGGUGAUUCAUGGACUUUUAUGGGCCAAGGCUAUUUUGGCCUUUAAACUGUGUUGUUUUACAUUAUUAAUGCUUAAUGCCUUCACUUGAUUGAUAAAGCUUGAAGAAAUUAACAAAAUAUCCUCAUCACUUUAAAAUAUUUAACACCGGGAAUUUUUCUACAAUAUGACAUAUCACAAUCACUCCCCAUAUAGAUAGGAAUGACAACGGGGCAGGUUCGGGAUGGGUCGCCCCCCUCCCAACCCUGCCCUGUUUAUUAAAAAAAAUUCUCAUCCCCAUCUCCUUCCCAUACCCGUCCCGCCCUACCCCGUUUAGCUUUUUUUUAAAAAAAUUACUUUUAAAUUUUUUAAUUACAUUAAAAUAAAUAUAUUUUAAAAUUUUAUAUGUAAACGGGGUGGGAUGGGGCAAUACCCGAACCCGCCCCGGGUUUAAAAAAAAAAUCUCAUACCUGUUCCAAACUCGUUUAUUAAAUUUAAACUCCGUCCCAUUAGGGGCGAAGCAGGGCAAGGCGGGGCGAGUAUCCGAAAAAACCCGUCCCGUUGUCAUCCCUACAUAUAGAGACAAUAUCCUUGUUGUGUCACACAAAAGGGUUGAGGAUUAGUUCUAAUUAUACCAUUAUAAUGGCCGAACCUCUCCCGAUAAUGUAAAUAUUAUCCACUUUGGAUCCAAAGGGUCCUCACAACAUUUAAAUGUAUUUAUAAGAUUAAAAGAAAUUCAAACAUAUAUAUGACACUAAAACCUUUUUUUCAUAUCCGAUGUAAGAUAUCACAAUUUAUAACCAUAGAUAUGUACAAUCAAAAUCAAACAUGAUACAUAAAAAGUAUUAAAACUUUCCACAAAAGAUCUUACUCUGUAUUGAAAUAAAAUUAUAGAACUUCACUAUAGUUUACUUCAAUCCUCACUUUCUAGACAAUGGUAACAUUGUUUUUCCACAAUUCUCUUAUAUUAGUGGUACAAGCAUCCAUCCAUUUUUAAAUAAAAUAUACAUAGAAUUAAAAAUAUAUAUUUUUAGUGUACUUUUUUUGUACUUAUUAAAAAACACCACCAAUAAAGUGGUACUAUGCAUCCAACUCGACUCUCAUUGCCUUGUACUUGAGUUUUAUUCCUUUGUACGAUAAUUAAAGUCUCAUUGUUUUGUAUCUCAAUUAUAUUUAUUUAUAUUUUGACCUUAUUCUUUAUUAUUUUAGGUUCAUUUAUUUGUAUUUUAAUUUUAUUUAUUUGUACUUUUAUUUAAUGAUCCAAAUUUUAUUAUAUACUUUUAAUGUCAUGAUUCAAAGUUUAGUACCUUCAAAAUUUUCAACAAAUAUAAUACUUUGGCACAAUCAAAAUGACAACUAAUUUUGAGUGAGCCUUUUUCCAAUGACAGGAAGGUCCUUAUGGCUUUCAAUCUAAAUUUUUCAUUCCAAAAUCAUUGUGAAUAUGUUGACAAGCAUAUUUUGAAAAUAAAGCAAAACAAAUUUAAAACAUAAUUAGGUCAUUGAACUCAUCAACCAUAUCUCCAUCGCAAAAUCAAAAGAUUAGCGAAGAAAAAGAAUCUCUAUUUACACUAUAAAGCAUAAAGAUUAGUAAAAAGGUAACUUGUACUCAAGAUUGCGCAAGAACUUUGAUUAAUCAUUGCUUUGAUAGGUAAGAAUCAAAAUUAGGAUGAAUGAUAUGGGGUUUUUUUUUUUUUUUUUUUGUAUUAUUACAUUUGUUUUCAAAAGAAAAUUUUGAAAAUUUGAAAAUUAUGAGAAAUAUAACACUACUCAUGUCAAAAUUAUCUCUAUAUAAAUUUAUAAAUUGUCUCUAUAUUAAAAUCUCAUUUUCAAAAAGACAAGUUACCUUAUAACUAUUCAUCUUAAAAGACAAUUUUAAUACAAAUUUAAAUUGUGCUCAUGAUAAAAUCUCAUUUUGAAAAAUCGGUUUUUGCAUGUAAAAUUAUAAUUUUAAAGGAUGAUUUUAGAAGCAUGAUGAUAUUUUUCUAAAUAUUUUAUGAACACUAUUUUUUUAAAAUAUGUCUUAUUAAAUAAAUUUUAAAUAUUAAAAAAUUGAAAAAAAAAAAAAAAAAAAAACCCUGGUCCCAAAGCCUCAACAACAGUUCUUUAACAUAAUAUUAAAAGAUUUUCGACUGCAAAUUUGAAAAUUAAAUUCAAAGUUUUUUUCAGCAACUUUGAAUGAAGGCUCUUCAAUCUAAAGUCAAGGUCUUAAAUGAGCCUUGGUUUUUAGGUGCACGAAUCUUUAGAUUUUUUCUGUAUCUCGCAAGCAAAACAUCAGCUUUAGGUAACGCGUCGUUUUCAAAGAAAAUAAAGCAAAACAUGUGUAUGAUGUAUAAUAUACAAUAAUGAGAAACCCUGUGGAGACAACAAAUGGUGGGUGAAGAAAUGAGCACAGAGUCGGGAUUCUUUCUUCCAGUUGAAAAUGUCCAAGCUCUCGCUUCCAACAACUCAGGUGAAAUACCAAGCCGGUACCUCCGGCCGGAACUCCAGUCAGAAGAAGUUUUGGCGGACGAGUCUAUCCAGAUUCCCACCAUAGAUAUGAGGAAGCUCAUGGUUGCUGAAGAUGAGAUGGGUAAACUUCACUAUGCCUGUAAAGAAUGGGGCUUCUUCCAGGUACAAUCCUUAUCCUUAUCUCUUGGGAUUCUUAUAGAGUUCCUGUUUUGAGCUGCAUCCCUAGUUUUAUCCCUUGGAAUUUGUGUUUUGGCUGCAAAAGAUCCACAUGAAAUUAAUUUAUGAUAUUUUGUUCUAAUCUAUCUUGAACAAUAAGUGCUGAAAAUUUCUCAUUUCAAUUUCUCUUAGAUAGAGACUUUAUUACUAUUUAGAUCAUGUCAACAUAAUUAGAUCUAAACCACCUUGGUGAAAAAUAAAAAAUCUUUAUUAUUCUGGGUAAUUAUUGAAAGUGUAAAUUAAAAUCAUUGAAGUCAGCUAUAGCCGAGUCUGUUGGAUAGUUUUAUCUUAUACCUUAAUGGGCUACUGUCUUAUGUUAAAUUGAGCAUAUUGUCAUCAAACAGUUGAUAAAUCAUGGGGUAGCAGAAGAAGUAAUUGAGAAAAUGAAGGCAGACCUUCAAGAGUUCUUUAAAUUGCCACUAAAGGAGAAGAAUGCAUAUGCAAAACUACCAAAUGGGGUUGAAGGUUAUGGCCAACACUUUGUUGUUUCCCAAGACCAGAAGCUUGAUUGGGCUGAUAUACUUUUUCUUCAAUGCCGGCCAGCCUCUGAAAGAAAUAUGAGGUUCUGGCCUCAAGAACCCACUUCUUUCAGGUAAAUAGAUCUACUCCUUUUAUUACAGUAUGCUUGGCACACAUUGCUUAAGCUUCCACCUUGUAAACCAGGGCAACCUUCGACAAGUAUUCAUCAGAGCUCCAAAAAGUUUCAAUCUGCCUUUUGGAGUUGAUGGCUAAGAACCUUAAGGUCGAUCCUGGGCAGCUCAUGAAUAUGUUUCAAAAGGGAAGACAACAGAUAAGAAUGAAUUAUUAUCCCCCUUGUGUGCAUGCAAGCAAGGUUAUAGGUCUCACUCCCCACUCAGAUAUUUGUGGACUUACCCUUCUUGCUCAAGUCAAUGAAGUACAAGGCUUGCAAAUAAAGAAAAAUGGUAAAUGGAUACCGAUAAGGCCUGUCCCCGGUGCAUUCAUCGUCAACAUUGGCGACAUUCUUGAGGUAAUUAACCCUAAAUGUCCUAAGUAACAUUACCUUGUAUUAAUAUGGUCAUUGGAAACCUGAAAGUUGGAGGAGUAAGAUAAUUUAUGGUUUCAUUGAUUGUGAGCAGAUAAUGAGCAAUGGGGAAUACAAGAGCAUAGAGCAUAGAGCGGUGGUGAACCCAGAGACGGAACGCCUCUCCAUCGCAGCAUUCCAUUCUCCUAGUGUUGAGACAAUCAUUGGUCCUUUACCAGAGCUUGUAAAGGAGAAUGGUGCAAUCUAUAAAUCUGUAAGUAGGGAGGAGUAUUAUAAAUUUGCAUUUAGCAGGAAACUUGAUGGUAAAAGUAUAAUCAGUCAUAUGAAGUUGGAGAACUGAAAGACCAUGAUAACCAUGUAUUGUUGAAAGAAUUGAGUUGAAUAAUCAUGUGAUCAAUGGUGAUUUAAGACAAUUGCAAUUUGCUACUAUAGGUAAUUGGGACGAAGCUAACUCAUUGCUUUUUCCAAAGUUCGUCUUAUUCCUUUGCAGGUAAAGAUAAUUUAGACAAAUGCAUUCAAAAUUUGUGAUUAGCUACAUUUAAGAGUGUGAUUUGAGUGAACCCAUCCCAAUCCGAAUCCAAGUAACAAAUUUUCAAUACUUGGAUUGAAUUUGAAUUAGAUUUUUUCAACUCAAAAUCAAUACGAGUCAGACUUGAGCAACUCCAACAUAAUUUUUUUGGUUAUUUUUAAGUUUUAUCUAAUUUAUUAUUUAAAUUUUGAUACAAACAUGGAGAAAAAUUAAAAAAAAACACAAUGAAUUUUGAAUUAUGUAAUUCAACCAACUCCAACCAAUCUAAAUAACUCAAAUUUUAAAAAGUGAGGUUAAAAUGAACUUGGAUGAAGGCACUUUCAAAGGUAGGAUUAGGAGUUAAUUAUGUAUUAAUUUAGAUCAGACUUCAAUUACUCAUCAUCCUAACCAAACCACUAAUGUUGGAGUAUUGAAGUGCACCUGAGAUUGAUUCUAAAAAAACAUUUUUAACAUUAUUAACAUUUGAAUGAUUAAAAAUUUCAAGUGUUAAAAAAAUUAAAAACAUUUUUUAAAAUUAACAUCUUAUUUUAAUGAACUCAAACAAGCAAGUUAAAAUUAACCCAUUUGUAUUAUUUCUACAUCCGAUGACAUCAAGAUUCAAUGGUAAAUGGUUUUUUUAUUAAAUAAAAAAAAUUAAAUAUUUAAAUUUUUUUACUUAAAUAAAAAUAACCUAUUAAUUUUAAUAAAUAUAAUUAAAUUAAAAUAAUAAAUUUACUUUAACUAUAUUAAUUGAUAUAAUAAAUUAUUUUUAACUGAAUAAAAAAAAUUAAAAUAAAAAAUUAAAUAUUUUAAUUUUUUUUAUUCAGUCCAAAUGAUGAUGAGGCAUUUGUUCUUCCAUCAUCUCAAUGACACAAAAUAUUAACAUUCAAAAUGAUCGUGGAAGUUAUUCAACGUAAAAAAGAAAACAAAAUUUUCUUUGUCAGUGGUCGGUCCUAAGGGCCUGAACCAAGGUGUCAUAGUUUCCCUGGAAGGGAUUGUAGUUGCCUAGUGCCUACUACUUGCGUUGUUCUUGCGAUUUUAUUUGCAUAUACUAAAUAUUUUCAUUAUUUAGACGAGUAUUUGUACCAAACCCAAAUAUUAGAAUGAUAAAAUUAUAAAAUUAAUGAUAAUUCAAAUAAAAAAUAAUAAAAUUUCAUUUCUUUCCUUUAUGAUAUAUAUUCUUAAUAAUUAAAUAUUAUAAUUUUACUAUUUAAUAAAAAAAAACAUAUUAGUAUAAAUUAAUUUUAACAAUAACAAAAAGAAAAAGGAAAAAAAAAGGGGGCAUCAGUUCUCCAAGGUGAAAUAGCAUCAAUGGAAAAAUUCAGACGCAAAUUACCCAUUACUUCAUGAGAUUCAUCACUUGCCCCUGCCAAACUCAAUCGCCAAUACUCAAAGAAAUAACAAAAACACUUUCCCUUUCAUCAAUUUCACGAAAAAACCUUCAACAUUCAUCAGAAAAAAUCAGAAAAAACAAGGUAAAAAAUCAUGAGAGUAUAUGUGAAAGAAAGAAAUAAUAAUGAGAUGUGGAUGUGUGGGAUGUAGAAGGCGAUCAGAACCUGUCGGGAUUCAUUGUUUAACAUCAUCUGAUGUUGAUAUCAGUGGAUUGACAGACCAAUGAAUUCUAUCGUCACCUCGCUUUUUCCAAUCUCAAACCACACACAACAUUCCCAAAAUCAACGAAUGAGUUUUCGAAAAAACAGAUCUAAAAUCAAAACUCCAGCAUAUACGAAAACAUGUAAAGAAAAGAAAAAAAGAAGCUCAGAACUUCUUAGAGGGUUGUGUUACCAUCACAGACCAACUCCGAAGAGAGUCUUUGGUACACAAGACUAGAUUUUCAUCAUUGCAAUAGCUACCAGAACUAGCAUUCGAAGAAGAAGGCAGAAACUAGCAUUUGAAGAAGAAGGCAGAAACUGGCCUAUGAAGAAGGCAGAGAGGGGAAAGAGAAGCAAGGAAAGGAGGCUGGUGUGGUGAGUGGUAGACGAGAGGAAGUGCAGGGAGAAAGGGCCUUUUUAUAGGACAAACCCUAACCCUAAUUUCAUGUCUUGAGAUUAAUGAAGGGAAAUUGUCCCAAAUGGAAUUUAUUUUGGGUUUUCUGUAUACAAAAUUAAACGGUGACAGAAUUAGCUUACUAAAAUUCAUUUUCUGACAUUUGGAAAAUACUUUGCAACAAUUUGGGGAUGAAUAUUUUAUUUUCAUCCCUACUCCCGAAUUUGGUCAUUUCUAGGUAGGAAUGUAAGAUUGAAAUUAUAAUUUGUUUUCAUUUUAAUAUUAAGUAAAAAUAAAAAUAAAAAUAACAAAUAUAUAUAUAUAUGUCAAUAAUAUCUAUGAUUUAAAAUAAUUUUUUUUAUUUAUUUUUAAAAAUAUCUUAGUAUAUAAUUUGAAAAUUUUUCUUUAUUUUUAUUUAAAAAAACACUUUAAAGUUUUUUUUUGUUAAAUAAUAAAAAUUUAUUUGGACGUGUGAUUUAAAAACAAAUUAUUUUUAAAAAAUUAUGUCACUAUUUGAUUGUUGUUUUUAAAAAAUAAUUUUUAAAAAUAAAGUAAAAUAAAGAAUUGAAUUUAUUAAUGAGUUUAAUAAUUUAAAUAAAUAAAUAAAACUCAAAAAAAUAUUUAUAAUGACUAUAAAAAUAAUAAACAUAAUUAAUAUUUUAAUUUUUUUUAAUAAAUCUUGUAAGUUUUAAGUAUAAUUUGAAAUUAAAAAAAAUGAUUAAUUAAUUUUAAAUUAAAUAAAAUAAUUCAGAAUGUCUUAUUCGUGAUUAAGUUGGCUCAUUUAUACCUUAAAAAAUUAAAUUUUAUUUAUUUUUAUAUUCAUUUAAAAUAGAAUAGUAUUUGCAAUUAUUAAAUUUUGAAUAGUUAUUCUUUAUUUUUAACAAAAUAAAUUAAUUAUGUUUUAUAAGAUGUUAUUAUUCAUAUUUUUAUAAUAUUUGUAAAAUAAUAUAAAUAGUAUUAGAAAUUAUUAAUUUUUAACUAUUAUUAUUUAUUUUAACAAAAUAGAUCAAUUAAUGUUAAUAUCUAUAGUUUUAUAAUAUUUAUAAAAAUAUAAUUUAUGAUUUUAUUAUAUUAUUAAUAUCCAUAUUUUAUUAAAACCUAUUUAUUUUUAAUUUAUUUGUAAUUAUUUUUUUUUUAAUAAGAUGUGAAUUAAACUUAGUUUACAUUAUACAAAUUGAAUUUACAAUUUCGUUUUUGACAAAAUCAAAAUAAAAAAACAGUUUUUAUAAAACAAUUUAUCUAAAAAGUCUUUAAUUUUUUAUUUUUGAAAAAUAUUUUUAAAAAUAACUUAUACUAAGGAAUCAAAAAUACCUCAUAGGAUAAAUUUCAUUUCCAAUUGAAUCAUUUUUUAUUCCACUCUCAUCAUCUUCAAGUCAUCCAAACUUGGGAAUAAAAGAAGAAAAUGAAUAAAUUGUCAAUUCUUACUCCUCAUUUCUGCACAUCAAACACAACCUAAAAGGAUUGUUGAGCAAAUUUCUAAAUUACUCUUGAGAACGUAGACACAUUUUAUGAGUAAAAAAUGUUCAAUGUUGUUUUAAAAAAAAAAUAUAUAUGUAGAUAGCUAAGGUGGCAAUUAUUUCAUAGGAAGGAGAUCAAAAUAUGUCAAACUUUCAAAUAUGGUUUAUAAUUUGAAAACCCAAAAUUCCUAAAAUCUCAAAAUAUUUGUCAUUACCUUAAAUUUUAAAUUUUUUAUUUUUACUACUAUAGAUUUUAAAAUUUUUAAAUAUUUUAUUUUUUAAAGUAGAGAAUAAUGCUAAUUUUUCUAACUUAAGAAAUAAAGAUUCUCAUAUAAAAAAUAUAGACUUGGAUUACAAGGAAAAGUAAGAUUUGACUCAGUAAUAUGAAAAUAUAUGAAAAAAAAGAAUCUCAAAUUUUUUAAAUUAUCUUCAUCUAUAUAAAAAUAAUUUGAAAUACAUGCAUUUUUUAAUGAGUCAUCUAAUUAUUCCAAAAAAAUACCCCUUUACUUGUCAUAUCAUCUAAAUCAAUUGACAACUAGACUAUUCAUAUAGAUGUUUUCUUUCCUUUUCUUUUAAAUAUUUUAUUGUUAUUAUUUUUUUAUUUGAAUUUUUUUUUCUUUAGAAACAUUAUAAAGUAAGAAUUUGAAAAAAAAGAAAGUUUAUUCUAGUAUUAAUAAGUUAAAAAUAAAUUCAUAUUCUUGAUAAUAAAUAAACCAAUAAUAAAUUUGUAUUUGUUAUAUAAUAUUAAUAAUUGUAUGAUAUAAUAGAGAAUAAAAUUUGUUGUAAGAGUUUUUUAGAUAUAAAAUAUUUUACAAUAUAAUUGUACUUUGAUAUAUAGUAUAAAAUAAAUAAAUAAAUAAUUAUUUUAUAUUAAAUAAAUUAAUUAUAAUUAAAAUAUUUAUAUUUUAUUAAAUUUAUUGUUUAUUAUUUAAUAAAUAAUAUUAUUAUUUUUUUGAAUUGGUAAUUAUGAUUAAAUAAGAUUUGUUUGACAAUAUUUCCUCUUAAAAUUUUAGGAAAUAAAAAAAAAUUAAUUCUUAUUUAAAUAGGACUUUUUUUUUUGCACAAUAUUUCUUAAACUUUUAGGAAACUAAAAUAAGAAUCCUAUGAGAUGUUUGUUUCCAAAGAAAAAAAAAAUCUCAAAUAAUAAAAUAAUAAUAAUAAUAUAUUUUUAAAAAAAAAUUUAUAUGAAGGAGUGUAGUUGUGAAUUGAUUUGAAUGACAUGACAAACAAAAGAAUAUUUUUAAAAUAAUUGAAUGAUUCAUUAAAAAAUGCAUGUAAUUCAAAUUAUUUUUAAAUGUACAAAGAUAAUACUAAUUUAAAAUUUUCAGAGUUCUUUUUUUCAUAUAUUGUUAUAUUAGUGAAUUAAACCCUACUUUUCCUUGGAUUAUAUCUUUAAAAAUUACUUUAAAAAAUUUUUAACAUCCAUUUUAAAUUUUAUUUGAAAAAUAACAAUUUAAUUUUAUAUUAUUGGAUUUUUUAAAUUUUGAAAACAAAUUAUCGAUGAAAUGAUCUUGGGCGAUUUUGGUCGAACUUGCUGGGUUGAGAUAAUGGAAACUUGGAUUUCAAAAGAAUCGAAGUAAGAGAUAGUUUUCCAUUGAAUAAAAUGAAAGAGAGAUGCAAAAAGGAAAACAUGGGUUGACUAAACACUUCCACCACAUCUCAUAUCCUUAUACGCAAUUAUGUAAAAUACGUGAUCUUUAAGACUAACAUCAAAUUCACCUUCCCCUAAAACAUAAUUGCAAUUAUAUAUAUCGAAAAUAAUUUUAAAUUAGAUUAAACUUUUUAUUAUUUUUAAUUUUUUAAAAAAUACAUAAAAAAGGUUAUUUUCAGAUGGCUGUUGAAACCUUUCUUCAAAGUACAUGCCUUGUGAUAUGAAUCACAUGAUUUUAAAAAAUUAAGAGUAAUUCUAUCUUCUCUUUAUUUAAAAAUAAAAAAAAUAAAAAUAUUGCUUAAAAUUUGGGCAAUCAUAUGUAACAUAGCAAAAUUUGUUUUUCAUUGUUUUUAGGUGACUAGAAUUUCAAAUUAUGCAAAAUCAAAAGGUCUUACUUGCGCAGUCACCCAUGUUUUUUUAAAAGGAACUCAACAAGUGUACAUAUUUUUCAUACAUAGAAAUUUUAAUAUUUUAAUUAAAUUAUCCAUUAAUAAUAUUUUAUUUGUAUCUCAAAAAUUUUACUUUAUUAUUAUUUUUUUGUUUAUAAUUUCCUCUUCAUUUGUAUAAUUUUUUUUAAGCCUCGAUUUUUCAAAAGAGAAAAACAAAUGCAAAUCAGGUCUUUGUGAUAUAUAAUUCAGCAUUUCUCAAAAGAAAUAAUAGAAUUAAAUACUUUAAUUCUAGGCGAGUAAGACCAAUGCGGCAGAGGAGAUAAAAAUAAAUUCAAAGAUUACCGCUUAAGCUAAAAAAAAUUUUAGUUACUCCUGGUACCUGAGAUACGAAGCAGAUGAUUGUCCAGUUUAAAUAUCAUACAUGCAGAGUCGGCGGUGGGCUGGGCUGGGCUCCAACCUUGAAUUUCAAUUUCUUGUUCUCAUACUGCAAACCGAACUUCUUAUUCGGUUACUUUUCCUAUUUUUCUGGAAACAAAUUUAAAUGAAAAAACAGCAAAGACAAAAAAAAAUCGGAUUUGGGAUUGGAUCUAACCAGGGGCAAACACUCAGAUGAAUCACAAAGCCCGACAACAAAGAAUCCACAAAAGAAUAGGGACUUCCAGUUGUGAAUUUGAAUCAGAAUAUCAAGCAGGCACUUUAUAUGAAAACUUACAUCAACUAUUAACGCAACUACAAAACUCCAAUGGAAAGUUAGAAUGAAGUUAAAGAGGUACACAAAAUGGUCAUGAGAAAAAGGAACCAAAGACUAAAGCAUUGAAGUUUUUGUAUGUUACAAAAAUAAACAAACAAACAAACAAACAAACAAAACCUCUCCAUCUGGACUAGAAUUGAGUUAGAAAAAUUGAGAAACCUACUCCUGUAACCUAUUCUCUACAUUCUCAUGCCACUAUGGUUAUGAAAGGAAUAAAACUGCAAAACUAUAUCAAUGAUUUUAUACAGCUUUAAACAUAUUUACAGUGCCAAGAGUCCAAGGCUAUGCCGGGAGCAGUAGAGAUUCGUAUCUCUUGAUCCUGUUGACACCAAGAGGACUCUAAAAUGUGUACAGUUCCCUUCUCAAAUAGUUGAUUCUUUUAUGUCAUAAACUAGACUCAUGGGCCCAGAAAGUGUCUGGAUCAGGACUGAACAAAGAAAAAUCUUGGAUUUCUAGAUUUGCUAUGUGCCAAUCAACAAAACGAGCUUGUAUUGACUUGAAGAGCAGAAGGAUGGUUGACAAAAGCCACCAUUUAUCGUCUUCCCUGUGGACAUAACAGUUCAAAAGCUCUAAAGAGAUUUGCAAAAGUUUAAAAUGCAUAAAUUAAUAAAUAAACAAAUAAAUUUAGGCAAAGAAUAGGAUCAAGAAUUCCAAAACUUAGAUAAGAUUUUAUAAUGUUCAAAAAACAAAAAAGGACUAUAUUUAUAUCAAUUGAAUGGUAACUUUUGAUCCAAUUUGGGUGAUCAUCUUUAUGGAUCUCCCUCAUUGAAACUAACAGAGCGGAGCACAACGCUCAUCUCCCUGCAUAGGAGCAAUGUGCAAAGAAGAUGACUAAAAGCUUCCCCAUCUUUAUAAAUUGCUCUAGAAUUUAUUGUAUCAUGGAUGUUGCAAGCUAGCUAAUCUUCCUAUAGAUUUAAAGAGUAACACUUCUCAAUCAUACAUAUUGCCCUAGGAUUGAUUUUAUGGUGGACACUGCAACCUAACUAAUCAUUUCUAUGCAUUUGCAGAUUGGAACUCUUUUUGUAUAAUAAUGAGAUAAAAAGGUGCUUAACUUCAGCUUAGAUUCAUGAAUUUCAUAAAUAUAACUUGUUCUCUUUCACCAACUAGGCUAACCAUGGCUAAUACCGAGUACCAUAGAAAUGAUUAGUCCAAAACCCAAAAUAAAGCAAACCAUAAGUUUGUAACUUGGUAAAGCUCAAGUUUUUGUUGUGUGCUCAAGGCUGUGCACACACUUGUUUGCAAGUUCCUGUUGUAUUAUAAUUGAAAAAGCAACUCUUAUUGUAUUCCAAGAAUGCCAUUAUCUUAUUUUUAGAUAGGAUUGUCUAAGUUGAAGGUCUUACCUCCUUGAAUGCCAUGUAUUUGCUUUUUCAGAUGGUUGAAAAAAGGAAAGUCCAUAGUGACAAAUGCCGCAGAUGAAAGCCACAGCCUGCAAAUAUCCAAAUUAAUCAACUUGAAAUGAACAUAUGAAUUCAAUGGCAUGAAUAGUGGCAAGGGAUUGGAUGGAGAUGGGAGGUUCCAUUCCAUGAAGCCAAGAAAAUAAAAUAAAAUAAAAUAAAAUUAUAUUAGCCUCCUUACCAUUUUAAAAAGAAGCACAUCUAACUUCAAUAUCCUAACCUUAGAACCAGUAACUCAAGUAAUGAGGCGCCAUAUUUCUGAAUAUGAGGCAUGAUGAGGUUUGUGGAAAUCUUACUUUUUUUCUAUGUUGCAUACCAUUUGAAAUUAAUAAAUAAUUAAAAAUAAAAAAGGCAUAAAUUCCAAGAAGAAAGUGGAUGUGGUGGAAAAUAACGACUUCGAUACAGCAUAGUGGUUUAAAAUUUUUUAUAUUUCUUUCGGUAUGAAUCAAGUCAUGGAUUCAUAUGGGGGAUUUCAACAGAUCCUUAAAUUCUUAAUUAAACUAAUAGUCAUUCAACUUCUAAGGAAAAACUUACAAUGUUUGAUAAAGAUGUAGCAUUCCACAAUGCAUAUAUGCGAGCUAGCGAAGAUCUUCUAGGUCCUUGACUGAAUAAGGCAUUCAAGCCUGCAGGGAAGGGAGAGAGCAAGGAUAGAGGAAGAAUAAGCAAGACAGCAAGAAAAGCCCCAAGAGAAAUCCAAUAGAACUGGAGCAAUGUAAGGAGGGUGACUGAAAGAUCUGCCAGAAGAACUAUAGAUAUCAGCAGCUGCAGGGACUCCUGAAACACAAAAUAUCCAAAUAUGAGAUGUUGAAUAAUAAUCCAAUAAUUAUCUUACUCUCUCUUCCCUGUUUUCCUUUCCCUUAUUUAUUUUUUGGUGGGAGGAGAGUUGUAAGAAUCAUAAUCUUGCUUAAGAGGCACCACAUGUAAGUAGAAAACAUCAUCUAAGUACCUGACGUCCAACAGGUCCUGUAUUGUGCAAUAAGAGAGAAAAUGGAAAGAGAAAGUCCCUUCUAAAAUCCAAAGAUUUCAAAGUAGCAUCAUUUAUUAGACCUCCAUUGAUUCCACCAGUAAUCCUUUUUCGAGAUAAUGCAUGACUUGUAUGUGGCUGACUCUUCUGCAGCUGUUUAAGGCUUUUUCUUGCAACUGCUGUAUCUUUUCUGGAAUAUAAAUGCAAAAAAAAAAACAAAAUUACCUUCUCAUACCCAAAUAGGCCAAUACCAGUCCAGGUGCACUAACAUAACUACAGGACUCAAUAUUAUCAUUUAAGACCAGUGAAACUUGGGGAAAAGUACACUCACCUCCCUUGAGGUUUUGAGUAAUUUCAGUGACAUCUUCUGAUGUUUUCAAAAUGGAAUUGAACUCCCAUAUAGCUAUUAGAGGGCAACAUAGGGGCAUGUGUGGAGACAACUUGUGCCCACAUACCUCAAGGCAUGUUGGUGGUGGCAUGUCUAAACUCAAACAAGGCAGUGUGACUAGGUAAUCAUAUUCAUGGUGGAGAGUGGGGCUUCUAAUGAUGUGCAUUGGUGGGAACUAGGCUAAGGCAACCUUGAAGGAUCAAAGUGGCUAAGUGGCACAUGUGUGGUGAGCAGCUGGCAGUGCUGCAAGUGCUCACCACAAUGCCAGCACACAUUGCAUGUCUCAUAAGGACGGUGUGUGGCAAUGGCACCACGUGAUGACACAUUCAUGUAGGCUCGACACAACUAGUGUUGAGUGUUAACACUUUGACAGGUUCCCUAAGUUGUUGGAGGUCUAAGAAGAAUUUUCCCAGUGCUGAGGUAUUUUUCCUACUUGUUUUAUAAUUAUUUUUCCAAGUGAUGAGGUCUCCUCCUAAAAAACCUGAGAAUGACAAAAUACUCUUUAAUAGGUAUGUGUGUGUGCGAGUAUGUGUGGAUGGGGGAUAACCCAAGGGUGUGAGCAUACCUGAGCACAACAAGACUGUCCAUGAACAAGUGCAAGACACCAUUAGAGCUUGCACACACCCAAGUGCACAAUGGCUUGGGCAAGGCAUGGGGGUGUAGACACUAGGCCAUGAGCGAAGCAUGGCACAUAACAGGUGUGGGCUAUGUGGCUGAGACAAGGCAGGAUGUUGGCAACUUGGUGCAUGGGUUGCAGAUGGGAAAUGCUAUAUGCAUGAACCUUGGCACAGCCAAGGUCCCAAGACCCUACAACACGAGGAAAGGUUCUCCUGCUAAACAAGGCCUGGCUUGGGACAGCAUGCAUGCAAACCCAAGGAAGGGGAGCAAGCAAGGCACAUGUCUAGGAGGCCACUCAUCAGGGGCUGGUUGGCUGAAGCAUAAAAUAUGGGCCUGUGGCUGACUCGUGGCAGAUACGAAGGCAAUUGAUGCAUGGAGAGGUGGCUCAGUAUUCAUCAGUAGAUGGGGUUGUGCUGCAGAUGCAUGGGCCAUUUGGCAAUACUUGAAGCAAGGCCAAAGUAUGUGGGACACCCACGGAGAAGCUGGGGACCUUAAGAAAUUGCCAAGACAAGUGGUAGAACAUGGGCUAGCUCUCAAAACAUGGACAAAACAUGGGAAGUUAUUUGGAGUAACUGAUGGCCCUUGAUUGCCUAUAAAUACCCUAUUGUGCAUGUGAAAAGGAGAGAGUCUAUGCAUAGUCAUAGUGCAAUUUUGUAAGCCUUGGUUUCUUGCAUUGUGAGGGAAUAAUACAAGUUGGGAAAGUUAUUUCCUGUAAGUUGCAUGUGUUGUUUGUGUGGCUGUGUGGGUUGCAUCUGCAUGAGUUGGCUAAAUGACGGGUCUAAGUGUCAUCACAAAAAAAGAAAAAAUUAUCAUGGCAGUGAAUUUUGUGACAUUUUCCAUCAAACAAUUGUGCUUUAAAGUAAGGCAAUACUAAUUCUUCAAGCUAAAUUUUAAUAAUGUCAACAUUUUCUCACUAUAUUUGACAGCAAAGUAGCAACAGGUGCUCCAUGACCAUAUUGGCAAAUCACAGGAGAUGUCAAUUCUAUUUUUAAAACAUUAGGGAAAGUUUUCCAGAAAUCUCAAGGCAGGUAAGAUGUUCACCCAGAAACAUAUCAUGGCACAUAUGUGAAAGAAAAAAAAAUUAAUAUGCUAUAGUAGUAGCCUCAACUAUCAUGAUGAGAAAUGAACUUAAUCAUUGGAAGGAAACAAGAAGGAAAGGAAAAUAAAAUAGAAACCCAUGGAUAAGAGGUCUCUUGAUAACAAAUUAAAGAACAAAUCUAGUAGAAAGUAUUUUUGUUUUUAUAGGGAUUGAGAAUAAGAAAAUUAACAAAAUGAAACCAAGCCAACAACUCGAGGUACUAAUUUCCAAUGCACAUCAUUGUAUUAUUAUUAAUCAACAGUGACUUAUCUCAACAAUUUGGGGCAACCAAUAAAAAUCCUGAACCACCUAUUAAAUGCAAAGUCAAUACAACUUCUCCAAUGAUCAGAAAAAACAUGCUACAGUAUCCAAAUCAGUUCAUGCAAACAGAUGUUAUGAGAAGUUCUCUCUGGAAGAAGCUAAAGUAACUGUUUAGCAUUUUUUUAUGUACACAACAGGUGAUUUUACAGACUGGGUUUCUUUCAUAUGGUGCAAUAUUUUUGCACCUGUUCUCCCAUAAAGAGUGAAAGGUCUUCAUCUAAAGGUUUUCUCACCAGUGCACUGGACAACACAGUUUCAGAGGUAGGGAUAUGUCACUGGUAUGGAGAACAUAAAGAAACUACAACCAAUUCACCAAAAUUUAUCACAGUUGAUUGCAACAUGUGUCAGAGCUAGUAUUAGACACUUUAUCAGUAAAUGGAUAAACCAUGUUUUAUAGAUCUUAAAAUGUGCAGGAAAUGGUGAAGCAGAAUUUGUGUGAACCAUAUACAGAUGCUUCUCAUGUGUACAAUCACAUAAAGUUACCUUGGACAUUCAUCACUACUUCUGUCCAAUAGAUCAGACUGAUUCAUGUUAUGGAGCGAGUAAUCGCCAACAACUACCAAAAUACCCAGUUGAUAAUAACCAGAAGCAGUGGCCUGGAACCAUCCAAGCUCAAUUUUAACCCCAUGGAACUCAAGUUGGGGGUUUCCAUGACUACUGAUCCAACGAAUAAUAGGAAUUAAUGCAGAACGGAUGGAUCCAUGUCUCACUGUCCUUAAUUGAGCAUUCAAACCAGCCACCAAACGAUUCCAGACAGUAGCAGGGACAUGCUGGGUAUACAAAAACAUAGUGAAAAUGUUGAAAUGAACAAUUGUUAUAGCUAUUCAAAAGAACAGAAAUAAAAGAGGCUGCUAAUAAACCUGGCCAAGAAGAUUUGUCAAUAAUGUGUCACUGUAAAGAUUAUAAGGGGACAUAUAGCUUCCAUCACCACCGAAAAUGAUGCACAUGGGGAAUCUCUUCUGUAUAAUAGACACUAUGUCUAUGCGCUUUUCAUCACCACCAAGGAAGAAAUCAAUAUAUGCAACCAUCAAAUCAGGUGUUGCUCCAACCUGCAUUAAUUGCCACUCAUAUAAAGGCAUGAUAAGUAGAAAAUUAGUCUUCCAAUAUUCAAAGGAAAUGUUUCCUUGAGAAGACUAUUUUACCAUUAUUUUCUUCUUCGUGAACUGGGGAGGAUGAUAUACAUGUCUAUCCCAGUUGUUCUCUUUCCAGGACACAGAGUUUGUUAUGAUUAGAUAAAUGAAUAUGCUUAAUGAUUAUUUUCAUCUCAGGGAGAAUAAAAUGAGGAGAGCUAACAAGUAUUUGAUGCUCAGAAGCUGCUACAGAUACAUCAUACCAUGACAAGUGGAAAAUCAAGAACCUCCCAACUAGAGCUAAAGCCUAAAAAACUCUAUUUCCCUAAAUUUUUGUUAUUAGCCAUCUUUAGCCUUUUUAUUUGGAAGAAAAAAUUGAAAUUUCCUCUUUAUCUUUUUAUAUAACAAUUUUUUAGUCUAGUACUAAAAUUUCGUAAUGUUGCUUAAUACUAAUAUGCAAUCUAAUUAAUCUUCUUAAUGAAAUUAUUGAAUUGCUUAAUACUAAUAUGCAAUCAAAUAAAGAUUAAAUACAUUAACAAGGAGAUUAUUUAAAUAUAUAAUCUAGAUUCUUGUUUUUUUUUUAAAUAUGAAAUAUUUUGUUGCAUUUGUUUUCUAGCUUUUUAUAUAAUAAUAUUUUAUUUUACUACUAAAACUUCUUCAUGAAAUUAUUGAAUUUCUUAAUACUAAUAUGCAAGCAACUUAAAUCAAUUACAUUGCUAAUGAAAUUAUUUAAAUAUAAAAAUGUUUUGGAUAAUAAGGGCAAAUUUAUUGAAUAGAAGCAUCGUAGAUUACAUUUAUGUUUUUAUUUUUUUUUAAUAAUUUAAUUUUCCUUUUAUGUUGCUAUUAUUCGAAGACUGCUCUGUGUGAACCAAAUGCCGAACUUUGCCACUGCAUAAUCAGGCUCUUCAGCUGUACAUCUAGGGAAUAUCUAAAUAUAGAUAUUCAGACUUUCUAAGCAUAUAGGGUCAUGUGCAUGUGCCUGUCAAACCAGCCAUCAAGUGGUUGCAAUUAAGAAAUCUCUGAGGCAAAAUUGAGAUGAUUUGGAUGAUUCAAAAUUUUGACAUAUUUACUCUGUAAACCCAUUGAUUCUUCUAGGUGGGGCCCAUCCAGAGGCAGAUGUAGCACCUAAUUUAACUGCCAUGUACCAAGUUCUAGUAAGUUUACCAAUCCUCAAUUUUAUUUUUUUUCUUCUAAAAUUUUUUGCCAUUUUUACUUAUCAUAUUUUUUUCAUGAUGGGAAACCUAGAAUUUCAUAAGAAUGCAAAAUGAGUAAAUACAGUAAGGAUAAGAGAUAACUCAUAUUAAACAUAAGAAAAGAAAAAGGGAGAAAGGAAAAAAGUACAAGGACGACAGGGAAAACCAAGCAAAAGAAGAUCUCAGGAAAAACCCAAUCCAGUCUCAGGAAUCUCUUAAGAGGAAGAAAAUUUCCUAUCAACAGAAGGGGAUACUCCUUGAAUAGAAUGUUUACCUCCCAAAAUCAGCCAACCUAGGCUUCCACAUGAAGGAGGGAACCAUGUCCCUCAAUACUCUCAGGGGUCUCUUGUAGCCAAGGAUGAAUAUGAGGAGAUAGUGACCAAAUAGUCCUCUUCCACCCUGUGAUUUCUAGUCACCAAUGGGAGACCUGUUUUAGACCUUUGAAGUUUGAACAAAGGUAAGAUCUCUACCUCAUGGUCAAUGACUGUCCUCUAAGUAGCUAAGCAACCGUUGUAAUUCUAGAUAUAAGACUGUUAAGAGUGGUAAUAUACAUUUGAUGAUAAAAUCCAAAAGAACUAACAAAGAAUUCUCUCACAUUCCAACAAUCUGUUUACUCAUCCUCAAAGAUCCAGGACCUCUCUCAAGUUUUGAAACCUGUGCAUGGCUAACAAAACACAAUGACACAACGUGUUGUUCCUAGCUUUCUUCUGAAAAUCCUGAAAAGAAAAAACCAACAUAUCUGGGAUAGCUUUCAAAUAUAACAACACUGACCGAUGAAGAGAAAGAUAGCUGACUGCCCAUUCAUCCCAAAUACACCUGUCACUGCUGAUUGCUUUGACUUUCAGGGGAACUAACUUCCAAAUUAAACUUGCCAUCUGAAAGAUGACCAGGUUUUGCUUUUGGAUAAGAAAAGUGAAAAGGAUUCUAAUGAAAAGAGGUCAUCAAACUAAGAUUUUCUAGAAAGACAAGAUUCUCCAUGAAGGAGAAUUGAGAAGGGUAGAAAUAGUAGGAAGGAGUAACAUCCCCCUACUAGAAGAAAGUAAAGUAAAAAAUAUCAGAAACAAAAUUGUUGGUUCUCUCUAAACUUCAGCAAUAAGUUCAUAAAUUAGAUGGUUUAUAUAUAUUAUGAUUAGAAAUACUAUAUAUAAUUACAUUUAAUUGAUUAAAUUAAUUAAAUAAUAAGACCAUAUAAUUGUAUUAUGAUUAGGUUUCAACUUUUAAGCUUUAUCUCUUUAGCCUAUGUUAAAAUCUUGAAAAUAAUUUUCACUCUAAUCUUUGAUAAAUGAGAAUAUUGACAGUUUGACUAAAUUUGAAUAUCUAUUCCAAUAGAUACCAAACAAUACAAAUAGAAAUAAUUUUGUAUUUGCAUUCUUGACUUCUCCAAACAUUGAAAUGGGAUUUUCUAGAAUGAGUAGCCCAAGGUAUUCUAUUCCCAUUCUGUACAACAACAAGGCUUUCAGUACAUCUUCCUUCAUGAAGAUGGUAGUAGUGAUAGAGUUAGCAUCAUGAUAAUCACUUUACUAGAGCGAAGCUCCUUAUAAACUUUUUAUCCUUCCCCUCUAAGGGUUUUUUCCCAACAGUCUUGGAAAUAACCCAAAUUAAACCUACUAGGGCUCAAGGAAUUCUUCAUAUCCAUCUAAAAGAUAGCUUCACUAAAUUCUUCAUCUUGAAAAGGCAUGUCUAACGUCCAAACAUGCAUCAAUCUCUUAUAGAGUCAAGGAUAAUACCUCAAGAUCUUUCCCAAAACUUAAAUUAUGGCUUUCCAAGAUCAUACCAUCCUCUUUUUUGAUAGGCAAGUAAAGAUUGUAUUAAAAAAAAGUGUCAAAAAAAGCACAUCAAAGUACACAGGACAUAUACAAUGGUGGCCAAAAGACGCUAAAAAAGGAAAACAAAAAACUACUCCCUCCCUUGAUGAGAACUCAACCAAUCAAUGAAGUCACAUAAGGACAUUGGGCCUUUAGCUAUGUACAACUUGGUUGAAGACAAUAAGUUACAAAGAAACAAGCUUUUCGGUCUAUGGUCAAAGAGCUCCUCGUUUUCAAACAAUCUUCUUUUUCUCUCCUUCUAAAUUGUUCAGAAGAGACACAAAGAAGUUGUUGCCCACACUUUUUUCGUUCCUUUCAACAAAGAACCCAUGUCACUGUAAUAGGGGCUCUCUUAUAGAGGAAGAUAACACCUAAAUACACUGAAAAGAGAGAACAAAAGCUACCACAAAACUCUCACCUUACCAUAAUGUGGCAGGAUGUGGUCAAUCGUCUCCUAAAUAUGACAAAUGAAGCAUUUGUUAGCCAACAACCACCCUCUCCUCUGAAGAUGAUCUAAAGUCAGGGCUUUACCCCACGACAUGUCCCAAGCAAAAAAGUUCGCCUUAGGUGGAACCCACAAGUUCCAAACAAUACCUUCUAAGAAAAGGGCUAAACUACCAAACUCUAGGAAAGCAUAAAGGGACUUCACAUAAAAAGAACUGGUCUUUGUCUCCAACUAGAUCACCUUAUCUUCUCCUCCCCCAUGGACCACCUUUUCUUGAAGCUUCGAGAGGAAACACUUCAUAAUCUCAAUCUCCCAAUCUUUUAAAUGCCUAGAGAAGCUAGGAGUCCAACAACCUCUAACAUUAGAUUGAUUCCACAAAACCGUCACAUACGCCUCCUUUGAACUAGCUAAGACAAAUAAAGAAGGAAAGGAACACACGAAGGCUCAUUACCACACCACUUAUCCUUCCAAAACUUUACCCUCUUCUCACUACCCACAAAAAAAGGAGACUCUACUAUUAACAAUCUCCCCACAAUUUCCUUAUGGUUUUCCAUAACCUAACCCCAUACUUGUCAUGCACUACACCACCCCCCUUCAACUUCUCCAUAUUCACCAUUUCUAAUAUGCUUCCAAAAGGCCUCCCUUUCCGUUGCAAACCACAAAAUCUACUUGCAAAGAAAAGCUUAUUGAGCGAAGAAAGACACCUAACUCAUAAGCCCCCAUUUCUUUUAUUUGAACAAGCAAUAGCCCACUUUAUUAAAUAAGGCUUUUCCUCUAAAUCCCCGCCAUCCCAUAGGAAAUCCUUCAAAUCUAUUCCAACCUCAAAUUCAUUUUCCUCGACAUCUGGAAUAACGACAUAAAGUAGAUAGGCAAACUAAAUAAAGUGCUCUGAAUUAAAGUGAGUCUUCCCCCUUUGGAAAUAUACUAUAUUUUCCAUAUUGUCUAUCUUUUUAAAAAACUCUCUUUCACCUCAUCCCAAAUUGCCAAAAAAUUAGAAGGAGCACUUAGAGGAAGACCCAAGUGGUCGAAAAAUCUCCCACUUUACAACUUAAUUCAAAAGCCAAAUCUUCUAAGUUUUCUACCCUCCCAAUUAAAAUGAACUCACUCUUGCUUAAAUUUAUUUUCAAGCCCAUAUGGCGUCAAACCACAAAAAUAACCAACUUAAAUAGGUCAUUUGAGCUUGGGUGGCCUCACAAAAUACCAAAGUAUCAUUGACAAAUAACAAAUGAGAAGUCUCCAUUCCCUCUCCAUCUCAACUAUUCACCUUGAAACCAAACAAAUAACUACCCUUUUUAGCCCUCUUAAGAAGGCAACUAAGCAUCUCCAUGUCUAGCACGAACGAAUACAACGAUAGUAGGUCCCCUUGCCUUAGGCCCCUAGAGCUUUGAAAAAAGCUAGGAGUGUCCUUCACUAGAGCCAAGAAACUUGUUGGUAUGCACCAUCGACAUCCAAUCCAAUUGAUCCACUUUUGCCCAAACCCCAUCUUGCCUAAAAGCAAGAAAUCCCAAUUAACAUGAUCAUAAGACUUCUCGAUGUCAAGCUUACAUAGCACCCCACAAUUCUUGCUUUUCAACAUAGAGUCAAUUUCCUCAUUGGCAAUAAGCACGACAUCUAGAAUUUGCCUUCUCUCCACAAAGGCAUUUUGGAAGCUAGAGACCACUUUACUCACCAUCUUUUUAAGCCUAUUAGCCAAUACUUUAGCCAAUAACUUAUAAAGACUACGCACCAAACUUAUAGGCCUAAAAUCUUUAGGCUCUUCUACCCCCUUUUCUUUGGAACCAACACUAGAAAAGUCGCAUUGAGACAUUUCACAAAUUUGCCCUACUCAUGAAAGUCAUUGAAAAAACCUAUCAACUCUUCCUUAACAAAGUCCCAACUAAACUAUCAAAAGGCCAUUAAGAAACCAUCUAGCCCUGGGGCUUUGUCCCCAUUUAGAUCUAAUAGGGCAUUAAGCACCUCUUCCUUUAAAAUCAUCUACUCCAACUUUACAACAUCUUGAACAUUUAAAGUGUCAAAAUUCAUAUCCCUGAUGCAAUGCCACUCCCUUGGCUCCAAUAAGAUAUUAUGAAAAGCCUAGACAAUCUCCUCCUUAAUCUCAAUCUCCACAAUUAAACAAACCUCAUUAAUUUUGAACUUAGCAAAAAGUUCCUUCUUUUGUUUGCAUUUGCCAUUUUGUGAAAGAAAUUAGUAUUUCUAUCACCUUCUUCUAACCAUACCUCCCUUAAUUUUUGUCUCCAGUUAAUUUCUUCCGUAAGUGCUCAUCUACAAAGCUUCACCCUUGCUACCACCUCCUCUAGAGAUAAAGCCCCCAACCUUUCUUUAGAAUCCCAAAAACCUAGGAAAUAACCAAAUUCUUUCUAACUACCACAUUAACAAAAGCCUCUUUGUUCCAACUCUUCAAUUUAGCCUUCAAAAUUUUUAAUUUCUCGACCAAGAUGAAGCUGCAAAAACCCCUAAAAUUGAACCCCACCCACCAUCUCUUCAGCAUAUCUUUGAAUUCUUCAUCCUUUAGCCACAUAUUUUCAAAUCUAAAAGGAGAAGGGUCUCUCCUCAAACCACCCCCAUCCAACAAAAUCAGUAAAUGAUCUGACAGAGGUCUAGGUAAGAUACAUUGCACUACCCCACUGAAAGGGCCUUCCCACCCCUCAAAAACCAAAAAACGAUAUAACCUCAACCAUGGUUGAUUAUUCAAGCCCCCAUUCCAAGUAAAGGACCCCCCAAGCAAAGGAAGAUCUCAAAACUAAAGGCCCUCAAUGAUUUCCAAAAAUUUUCUCAUGGCCAUAAGUGCCCCUUCUUGGGAAGAUCAUACCAUCUUCUUCAUAUUGGAUAGAUUUAACAAACUUUUUAUUUCUACUAUCAGUCACCCCCAAUAACAAGGGAAGAUAAUAACAUCACUUAAAUGCAAGGGAAGGUCAGUUUUGGCCACAAAAGCAUUAAGUGAGGUUUCUGUAAUUGUCCCAAUAUUAAGCAUGCAAAAGAUUAAAAUGUCAUUUAGCAAACUGGCAAGUGCAAAAAAAUGGCUUAUGAUAACAAACGCAUAAUAAACCAGACCUUCAUGCCUUUGUAUAGAGCCCUUGACCUACAUGAGCGGAGACAUGAAUGAUCAUAUUCAGAUUUGACAAAUUCCUGAAGGCGAUGAAUCUUAUUCCUCCUACGCCACUGUUUCCAUGACCAUGCACAAGGAUAUGCAAGCACUGAAAGUAUGCUGUGUACUGACCCUUCCCACCAAUCAUAUGCAGCAACUGAAUUAAUCUCAUCAAUGAAUCUGUUAAAAGCAUCUUCAUACCUGUAGAUCAAAAUAGUCAGAAUAUUAGAAAACAUUUUUUUGAAUCAUGAGAUGGCACAACCUGAUGCUAAUAUGUUCUUCCAAUACAAUAGGCUUCUAAGCAUACACAUCUACUUGAUCAGUAAGCUUCAUUAAGGAGCAUAUCCUGGAUCAAAAAUCCAACCUAAUUGGACAUUGCUAAUAAUUCAGAUCACUUUCUUCUGUUGAAUGAACAGAAAACACUAGUGAAAGAAAAAGGUUAAAUUAUCCAGCAAACACCAAUAUUUCCCAUGAUUGAAAUCCAGCCAUAUUGUAAACCCAUAAUAUCAUAACAUAAACCUAGCAUCCAAUUGUGCCAUCAGUCAAAGUACCCUUUAAGUUAAAUUGCUAUCUUACACAAUCUCUAUGAUUGCAUUGGGAGGAGAGUAAGGAAGAUGCCAGGGUUCUCUGAAAGUAUUGGGACCCAUAAAGUACAUCCUGUAAACAUGGCUCUGAGUUUCUUCAGCUCUGGUCCCCCGCACCUUGAAAUUCAGAAACAUAAAAUGCAGAAAAUUGUCUAGGGAUAACCACAUGUGGCUAUUGAUCAUAUUUGAAAAGGAAAAGAAGGAAUACUUGCUAUCAAUCAUGUACCUCUGACAACGAAAGAAGGUAUGGAAAAUGGUUAUGACUUUGUGUUUCAAUUGAAUUUGUACUAUGAUAAGAACAACCUGAUCCCACCAAUUUGAUUCUCAAGGUACUUAAUAAUAUAGCUAGAAGAACCAAAAUGCACGACAACAAAAGCGAGAAAGGCCAAGGCCCUCCAAAUGUAUACAUCAGCUCCUCAAGAGGUGUAUAGCAAUUUGGCAUUCUAUACUUGUCAGAUAUACAUUUAUAGGGACAGGAUUGCUGAGUAACUCCUCCUGCAGUGUGGGCACCCUCUUGUAAGAUGAGGGACAAAAGAACCAAAAAGUUAAAGAAAGAGACCAGAAAUACUACCACAUAUAUUAAAGCGCAACCGUCAGAAUUACCUCGCACAUAUAUAAAAUCUGCCCGGUUGGGAAGAAGGUCAAGAGAGCAAGGAGCGCAAAGAUGUACAUCAGAGCCAUCAACAUCUUUGUAAGUGCCAACAGGGCAUUCCUGUAAACAAACACAAUAUUCAAAAUCAUCCAGAAAUUAUUACAUCAAGUUUGCAAUGCUCAAAUAACAUAUUUUAGUAAUAAUUGAAACUUCAAAACCUAAAAGACAUUUUAGGGCAUUAACAAUUUUGAAGUGGAUUCAGCCUUUGUUCCCUCUUGGGUGUCUCAGGUCAAGAGAAGGCCCUGAAAACUGAAUGUGUGAAUUUGCAAAACUAUAGAACUUUGAAGGUGUGUAUGGCUUGCUCUCUCACUUGGAUCCCAAGAUUGGCCAACUCAGUAGUGGGACCAAUUCACUAAGCAUGAAGCCAAGAGUUUAUUAGGGAUUUCAUGCCACCCUGAAGUGUUAUUUCUCCUAGGAUCACUCAUCGGGUUUUCUGAUCUUGAUUUAUGGUUGUAACAUCUCUGUCUCCCAAUUGCAUAGUUCUGAAAGGAGCAAGGUGCAUUUCAGGCACAAGACACAAUUGAGCAAAGUGAGGCAUAACCUAGGUAUAUAUGCAACUUUGUAAAAUCCUGUAUAUUUGAACAUGCAGACAUUUGUCAUAUGCUCAUAUUACCAAAUAUGUUCAGUUUAAAAAGGAAAGGGCAAAACGAUCUUGUUUUACCAGGAACUUAAAAAGAAAAGAAUAAAUAAAUAAAUAAAUUGACAACAUGCGCCUCUUCAGCAAGUGUAUGCAACAGCUGGGGAGUCAUUGCACCUUGGGCCUAGGACCAUCUUUAACAUCCAUGCCCAUCUGUACUCUAUAUUUGCUGUGACGUGAAGGAUAGCUCAUCUUCCAUGUAGCUUUCCUCACUACUAAUUAAUUAUUUGUUUCCUAUAAAAAAAAAUAUAUCUAAAGACAAAGAAAGUACUUGAAAGGUAAUAUAUCAAUUGUAAACUAAAAGGCCAAAAGAAUAGACAAAAAUAAUUUUCUUGAUCAACUUACAAAGGUGAAUAAACACUAGAACACUUCUACAUGUACACACAUAGACAAGCAUACUUAACACAUAGAUGCAUACAUCUACACAUUUGAUGUGGAUGAGAAAAAAAAGGAUGGCUUAACAUAAAAUUUACUCCAUUCAAUCUAGUAGGCAAAGUUUAACCAUAUAUUUGUUCCAUGCAACCUCAAAUUCCUUUUACUCCUGUUCACCAGUGUUCACAAGCCCUACACCUAGUUCUAGUCCCACUAUUGAGGGUCAUAUGCCUUAAAAAGAUGCACAAUUUUCGGUCAAGGCAAAAACAACCUUAUCAAGAGAUGACAUACAUAAAUUUCUACAUUAUCAGGUAAAGUUUUGUGUUCUUUAGUUUAACCAGCAGUCAAAUGACCUCCCUAUGGCUGUUUGUUACAUUGGAUGCUCAAGCUAGGGUAAUUUGAAAGAAGUUUGAGCUGUGAUGAAAAGUCCCUCCCUAAUUCAGAUCCACCAAUCAUGAAAAGUAUUUAUAGUAUAAGCACACAAAUUAGAUGUUCAAUGUCUCAUUAAUGUACACAAAAGCAGAGAAACAGAGAUGGAAUUGGAAAAACAGUAGAACACAUAAGAAAUUACUUUUCUUAAUGACAGAAAUCUCAUUGGUCUAAUAGGCAAUAAUUGGUUAAAAGUGCUUUAGUUCAUGCUUGCAAAAUGUGACAUCUUUCUGUAGGCAAUAAUUGGUUCAUAGUGCUUUAGUUCAUGCUUCCAAAAUGUGACAUGUUUCUUAAGGAUAUAGAAAAACUACAAGGUUUUCCUAUCGCAUGGAAUUAUAUAUGAUUUUAACAAUCUAAACAAGUAUCAAAUGAAAGCAAGACAUACAUUGCAGAAUGUACCAUAAAGGCCCUUAGGGCAUUUCUUUCCUGUAACUGUGCCCUCUUCUCCAUGAAAACCACCAUUGUUUCCAGCACCUCCACUGUUAAACAUUAUAAGGCAAGUAAUAUGUUGUUAUGCAGCAGAUUUUCAUUGGUCAACAGAUCCUAAAUCUAUUGUUUUAAUAGCCUAUCAAAAUGGUUACAGAAAGUUCUUAAAGUAACAAGGUUUUAGGUAUCUUGCAAUCAAUAAGAAACUUAUUCACAAGAUUUGUACAGGUCCAUGCUCAAACACUGGAUAAACAUUUAUAUGUGUGUUGUGAUAGACAUACCUACUAUCAAUGGCACCACUUAUCAUUGCAACUGGAACAUAUUCAUCACCCACAUCUAUCUUAGACCAGUGAAAAUGAACUCUUCCACCCCCACCCCCUCCACCACCAAAAAGACCACCAUUGCCUCCAACAGCAGAUAAAGAUGAGUUUUCUGCCAGCACAAGUGUUUGAAGGAAAAGGAGAAUUGUCCCACCAGAACCACCACCAAGUCCACCAAUCAAAGUCCCAUUAAUGUUUCUUGUUGCCCCAACAUAGCUUUGACCAUUGGUUCUCAAAGCUCCAUAAAUAUCAAGCGUUAGAAGAGGCCACUGAAUGGAUCCCAUCACUAGUAAAAAUGAAACAAAGAAUAGGUGAACAUAAUCUAGGUGUAAGAUCAAAUAGCAAACUGGAUUGAGGCAUCUUUGGAAGCUAAAGUGAAUUGAUUGAUAAUUCUUUCUCAGCAUCCAGUACUUAUUCAUAGCAUUGCUAAAUGGGAAAACCAUCAAUAUCUCCAGAUUAUAUAUCAAAUGGUUUGAUUGAGAAACCAACAUUUUCUCACACUUCAUUAAAUAUAUAUAUAUAUAUAUAUAUAUAUAUGUGUGUGUGUGUGUGUGUGUGUGUGUGUGUGUGUGUGUGUGUGAGUGUGUGUUUAUCUCAAAAUUACAAAUUGUCCCCUCAAUAGGACUGUGAUUUGUGGUUAUGUUAAGAUGUGAGUAUAUUCUAAGAAAAUGUGUGCAGAAUACCCAUCCAAUGCAUCCACAUGGUUGGGUCUUUUGAAUUCUUUUCAGCAUUUUCUUUCUCCUCUUGUUUUAGCUUGUUAAUAUAACUCCAAUGAGUUAAACCACCAAUUUGACCCAAAAGCUUAAAUUGUCAUACAAUGGGCCAAUAAUGUAUGUCAAAGUCAACCUGGGUUAAAGCAUUGAAAUUGUUUACUUAUCUGAAAAAUGGAAUAAAAAGGAAUAGUAAUCGGAUGAAAUGCAGGAUACUGAAUGGAAGCCAUAACUUUAGCUGUGUGACAUAAGUUUGUAUCUAGACCGAAUAACCAUAACUGUGUGAAUUAAGCUUACAAUUCAAAACCAAAUUUGGUGCAAGAAGUUAAAAUUAAGAUGGCAAGCUAAUGGGGAAUAUAGAAAUGAAGGAAAAACAGGAAAUGUUAACCUACAAAGAUAGAAAUGAAGGAAAAAAUGGGAAAUGUCAACUAAGCAAUAUUCACGAUAGGAUGGUUAUUUCUUUCAAGUGUUUUGGGAACUCUACUAGAGGCAAGACUCUUUGAAAGAUUGUUUAUCUUACUUUGUUGUGGAUUGUAUGAAAAGAGAGGAAUGCUAGGAUUUUCGAGGAUACUUGGAAGACAUCUGAGAUGAUGUAAGACUUGCUUCAUUUCUAUGUUUCUUUUUGGGCCUACUGUAUUGACAUUUUUAAACCCUUUCCUUUGAGUGUAAUUUAGCUUAGUUGUCUUUCGAUAUGUAUACCCUAGGGUUGGGCCUAUUAGGUGACUUCCUAGAUGAACUUUAAGAGAUGUUAUACUUGUAUAGGCUUUUCGCUCCUUUUGUAUAGUCCUCCUUCUAUAGUGGAGGUUUCUCUAGGUCUUUUUAUCAGGUUUGUAUAUCAUGAGGAGGAUUUCUCAUCCUUCUCAUAUUUUUAUUCACUUUAAUUAAUACAUAUUUUGUUUCUAAUAAAUAAUAAUAAUAACACCUAAAAAUAAUAAUUACAAUAAUAACACCAAAAAAAAUCGCAUACUUACCAAGAGGAACAACUCAAAGAACUAACAUUAUAAUAACUCCAGCACCCAUUAGUUUUUGUUACAUAAAUUAAAAACAUAAAUAUGAUAAACAGAGAAACUUAUUUCUGAAAUUUGUACCAUAUGUUGAAAUUAUUACCUAUCAUUCCCCCUCCAGCCACAUGUCCAUAAGAUUCGUUGGGACCCUCAGUUCCACUUCCCAAUUCACAGGGAAGCUCAGCACUACCAUAUUUGUCACCACCUUCACUCACCCUCCCAUGAAAAAGUCCUGAGCCGCCUCUUCCGCCAUGGCCAGCACCACCACCAGCUCCAUUUGAAUAGUUACCCUUACCGAUGCCUGUUCUGCAACCUAAAAAAGAUUCCUUGCUUACUCAGAAAGUUUUAAACAUACAGCAAUUUGUUUAUUCAGCUUCUUUAAGAUGGGAUCAAUUAGUCAUUGAGGUUAAUUGCAGAAAGAAACAAAAGCAAAAGAAGGAAAGAACAAUAAAAGAAUUACAAUAAAACUAACUCAUGGGAUACUAUUACCUAAUUCUGAUGCAGAAAUCAUGCCAUCAGUAUCAAUGAUGAUAGUUCUUGCCCUGUGGAUGUGAAUGAUGCUUCCCUCGAUGAGGCCAUUAACAAGAAGGUCCUCAACACGACAAAUCUUCCAAAGGUUAAAACAAAAAAUGAAUAAGUUUAAUUGGCCAAUCACAUCAACCUAAUUAGCAAAUUGAGAUAUGUCUGAUUAGCAGUGAGCAUCAUUUGAACCCACCAAUUGAAGCCUAAACAGAGGGGGAUACAAUUUUCUGGUUAUUUGUCUCAUUGAAAAUUAUUUAAAGAUAACAAUGUACUUCUUCUCUUUGUCAAUGUUUUUUUGAUAGGCAAAUAAGCAGAAUACAUUAAAGGCACUUGCAAAAAGGCGCAACAAAGUACACACAGGAUAUACAGAUAUGGCCAAGAGGCAAGCAAGAAAAGAAAAAAGAGCAACUAAAACCCACCUUCCCACCAACACCCAGCUCCCAAGGGGGCUGGAAAGCCCCUAGCAGAAACCUAAAAGGAGAAACAAAAGAACCCCUACCCAUAACAAAAAAACCCCUAGCAGAAUAAAAUAAACACCUACGAUCAGUUGAAACCCCUACCGUCAAGUCCCCACACCCCUCUCCUUUCCUCUUACCAUGGACAGAGCACUAUUGUAAUUGAUUGAGUACUUGAGCCCUUAGAUUUCCUUCUCAAGUUGAGAAGAUGACAUGGAUUUUCUCCUUCCCCCUAAUACCUUAACCCCACAACCUUUCUUUGAUUCCAAUUUUCUAAGAAGAGAACUAAUUUCCUUUUCAAAACCCAAAACUAGCAUCCCCAAACAAUUAGAGAACUCAACAAAACCAUUGGGAAGACACACAAAAUCCUCCCCUUUUGCCACGCUGCCCAAACCCACAUCCCUAGGAGGGUCCACCUCCUCAUUCCUGGCCUCUAAUUCUUUCUUGACUAAAAUAAAUUUCUUCCUUGAUUUCAAUCUAUACAUCUCAUAUAUUUAUACAAAUAGUCUUAGCACAAAAAAUAGAAACGUUCCUAACCUAAUUCUAUCAAAUCCCCUUGAUUAUGGGAUUGUCCUAAUCAUCUCUUUAAUUACAAAAAAAAACAACUAUAACAUUUCCCAAUUACAUUCUUCCACACUCCUCCUCAAGCUAGUGAAUAGAUCUUUUCCAUUCCCAUCUUGGAUACACUUGCUUGAAACAUUGUACUGCUUAAACCUUUGAUAAGUAUAUCUAUAAGUUGGCAGUUGGUAAAUACAUAAGGAAUUCAGAUCAACUCACUAUCUAGUUCCUCCUUAAUAAAAUGUUUGUCUAUCUCUAUGUGCUUCAAUCGAUCAUGUUACACUAGAUUAUGUGUGUUGAAUACAAUGUAUUUAUAGUGUACAAUCUUUUUUUCCUUUCUUAAUAUAGGUCACAUAUAUGGUAGUUAGGUCAACCUAGCCUCGUAUAUAUAUUUCUCUAUUAUAAGAAGUCAAUAAUAUGAAUGAGAAGUAAGGUUUUUUUCUCUCUCUCUUUCAACAUGGUAUCAGAGUCAAGGGAGAAAACUUUAUUCUUUCUGGUUUACGCGUGUAAUUAAUUCUGGGAAUCCGUCCAGUGACCGUGUUUCAUUCCAGUCACCUUUUCCAUCUCCCAAAGCUUUCCGGUCAGCCAUAUCGUGGUCAGAAAACCCUCAUCACCGUCAACAUUUUUCGGGCGAUAUUUUCCGACACCGACCACAUCAUCAGGAGCGUAAAGAGGAGAUAUGCAACUUUUCUCAAAGCACCGGAGCCAAAAAUCCAUCCACGCACCUCCCACAAACGUUUUUCUCCGACGACCUGAAUCCCACGCGCCGGCGCGUGAGGGCGUGUGACCCACUUUCUGGUGCCAAGCUUCUACCAGUAGAAGCUCGUUCGGCGCCGUCUUGCACUUCUAAGCCUCUAUCAGUCCUCUUCGAACCCUGCUUCUCCAUUUUUUUGGCAUUUCAGCCUCCGCGGGUCUUCUUUCAGCCUCCUCUGGCCUCCGACGGCAGCUCCCUUCCUUGGCCGAGACCUGUGUGUGACUUGGGAAGGCCUCUUCUUCAUCUCCAGUCACUUUUCUCCUUUGUUUGGGUCCCGACAUACUAGGUUCUUCUUCCACAGCUGUGAUCCGACCUCCCUUUAGAGCUCUCUUAGAUACAAACGUGAUUCAAUCUCAGGUAAAGUGGGCAUGGCGACUAAAAAUCCUAUUUUUACAACCAUCAUCUCUAGAUCUCCUACUAUCACAUCGGAAAAAUUGAUUGGUAGUGAGAAUUAUCUCUCCUGGUCAGCGUCCGUGGAACUCUGGUUUAUGGGACAAGGUUAUGAGGAUCAUCUUGUCACACCUGAGGAUGCUAUACCUGAUGUUAACAAAGUGCAAUGGAAGAAGAUCAAUGCACAAUUAUGCAGCGUAUUAUGGCAAUCUGUUGAUUCCAAAAUUUUACAUCAUCUUCGUGCCUACAAAACUUGCUUUAAAUUUUGGACUCACACUAAAGGAUUAUACACAAAUGAUAUUCAACAAUUUUAUAAGGUGGUUUCUGAUAUUGUUCAUGUGAGACAGCAGGACAUGGAUCUGUCUACUUAUAUUGGCCGGAUUACGUCUCUUAAGAAGGAGUUCUUAUUGAUGCCCUUCACUAAUGGUGCUGAAGCUCAAAAAAUACAGACUGACAAGUUCUUUAUGGUGUUAACCCUCAUUGGCCUCCGUCCAGAUCUUAAGUCUGUUCGAGAUCAUAUUCUUGCUAGUCCAUCAGUACCAUCAUUGGAUGAUGUGUUUGCUCGUCUCUUACGCCUCUCCUCUACUCAGACCUUGUCGACUGAUGGUCCUUCAGAUUCAUCUGUGUUAGCCUCUCAAACUAACUCUUGAGGAGGACGUAGUGGCAAUCGGGGUCGAGGACAACGUCCUCAGUGCACCUAUUGUAAUAAGUUUGGUCAUACUCAAGAUCGUUGCUAUCAAUUACAUGGACAGCCUCCUCGCACUGCCCACAUUGUUCAGUCAUCUAAACCUCUGCUAUCUCGACCUGACUCCGCUGCAAGCUCCACAUCUCAAAGUAUCACCCUUACUAGUAGUGAUUAUGAUGCCUAUCUCCGAUAUCAGGCAGCCACAUCAGCUUCUGUUACUUCUGUUGCCCAGACCGGUAAUGUCUCUGUCUACUUUACUCAGUUUCCUUCUUUUNNNNNNNNNNNNNNNNNNNNNNNNNNNNNNNNNNNNNNNNNNNNNNNNNNNNNNNNNNNNNNNNNNNNNNNNNNNNNNNNNNNNNNNNNNNNNNNNNNNNAUUUGUUAGCCACCAACCACCCUCUCCUGUGAAGACGAUCUCAAGUCCGGGCCCUACCCCGCGACAAGUCUCAAGCAAAAAAGUUCGCCUUAGGUGGAACCCACAAGUUCCAAACAAUACCUUCUAAGAAAAGGGCUAAACUACCAAACUCUAGGAAAGCAUAAAGGGACUUCACAUAAAAAGAACUGGUCUUUGUCUCCAACUAGAUCACCUUAUCUUCUCCUCCCCCAUGGACCACCUUUUCUUGAAGCUUCGAGAGGAAACACUUCAUAAUCUCAAUCUCCCAAUCUUUUAAAUGCCUAGAGAAGCUAGGAGUCCAACAACCUCUAACAUUAGAUUGAUUCCACAAAACCGUCACAUACGCCUCCUUUGAACUAGCUAAGACAAAUAAAGAAGGAAAGGAACACACGAAGGCUCAUUACCACACCACUUAUCCUUCCAAAACUUUACCCUCUUCUCACUACCCACAAAAAAAGGAGACUCUACUAUUAACAAUCUCCCCACAAUUUCCUUAUGGUUUUCCAUAACCUAACCCCAUACUUGUCAUGCACUACACCACCCCCCUUCAACUUCUCCAUAUUCACCAUUUCUAAUAUGCUUCCAAAAGGCCUCCAUAUGAAUCAAUUGACCCCUUUAUAACUCUGGAAGCAUCUCAAGUGGGGGACACCAUUGAAGGUGUUAGUACCCCUACCCCAACCAUUGCAAGUCAAUGUAAGGUUUUCACACCCCACCAGGACAUAUGAGCAGUGGUGGGNNNNNNNNNNNNNNNNNNNNNNNNNNNNNNNNNNNNNNNNNNNNNNNNNNNNNNNNNNNNNNNNNNNNNNNNNNNNNNNNNNNNNNNNNNNNNNNNNNNNUCACCCUUACUAGUAGUGAGUUAUGAUGCCUAUCUCCGAUAUCAGGCAGCCACAUCAGCUUCUGUUACUUCUGUUGCCCAGACCGGUAAUGUCUCUGUCUACUUUACUCAGUUUCCUUCUUUUGGCCCGUGGAUUCUAGAUUCUGGAGCAUCUGAUCAUAUCUCUGGUAAUAAACACCUUUUCUCCUCUAUUAUUACUACCUCUGCCUUACCUACUGUUACUUUAGCCAAUGGUUCCCAAACUAUGGCUAAAGGUAUUGGUUUGACUCAUCCUCUCCCUUCCCUAUCUCUCCAUUCUGUCCUUUAUGCCCCUGAGUGUCCUUUUAAUCUUAUUUCCAUCAACAAAAUAACUCGCACUCUUAACUGUUCUAUCACUUUUUCUGAUAAAUCUGUGAUCUUGUAGGAUCGGAGUAUGGGGAAGACGAUUGGCAUAAGGUGUGAGUCUCAAGGCCUCUAUCACCUCACAUCACCUUCAUCUCCUGCAGCUUGCAUUUCCACCGAUUCUCCUCUUCUCAUUCACAGUCGUCUGGGUCAUCCUAGUCUCUCCAAGUUCCAGAAGAUGGUCCCUCGUUUUUCCACUUUGUCGUCGCUUGCGUGUGAGUCGUGUCAGCUUGGGAAACAUACUCAUGUCUUGUUCCCAAAGCGUUUGAAUAAUCGGGCAAAGUCUCUUUUUGAACUUGUCCACACUGAUGUUUGGGGUUUGUGUCGAACCGCGUCUAUUUUAGGAUUUCAGUAUUUUGUCACUUUCAUUGAUGACUAUUCAAGAUGUACUUGGUUAUUUUUUAUGAAAAAUCAAGCUGAGUUAUUCUCUAUUUUCCAGAAAUUUUAUACUGAAAUCCAAACACAAUUCAAUGUUUCUAUUCAAGUGUUACGCAAUGACAAUGCUCGGGAAUAUUUUUCUACACCCUUUACUUCUUUUAUGUCCCAACAUGGGAUCCUCCAUUAGUCAUCUUGUGCUCAUACUCCUCAACAAAAUGGGGUUGCUGAACGUAAAAAUCGACAUCUUGUUGAGACAACUCGUACCCUCCUUCUCCAUAGUCAUGUUCCUUUCAUUUUUGGGGGGAUGCUGUUCUUACAGUCUGUUACUUGAUUAAUCGUAUGCCCUGAUCUAUAUUACAUGACCAAAUCCCUCAUUCCCUUCUUUUUCCUACCCAACCUUUUCAUUUCCUUCCUCCUCAUGUCUUUGGUUGUACUUCUUGGGAUACUCUCGACUUCAGAAGGGCUAUUGUUGUUAUUCCCCUGACACUCAUCGUAUUUUCUCUCCGCUACUGUCACCUUCUUUGAGGACUCUCCAUUCUUCUCAUCCUCUAAAUCUCUUCCCAUUUCUGAAGUAUUGUCACUUCCCUAUAUAUCUCCCCCUUCAAAUGCACUCUCUCGUCCUCUUUAGGUUUAUCAUCGUCGACAUCGUGCUGUUGCUCCUCCUCUCUCUUCAGCUGAGGUACCUGAUGACUCACCUCUUAUCCCACCGAUUUCUCCUACCCCGGUCCUAUCAUCUACUGACCAUUUGCCUAUUGCUCUUCGGAAAGGUAAUCGAUCUACUUGUAAUCCUCAUCCUAUUUAUAAUUUUUUGAGCUACCAUCGAUUAUCUUCAUCCUAUUCUGCCUUUGUAAACUUUAUCCUCUGGUUCUCUUCCUAAGAGCACUAGUGAGGCACUUUCUCAUCCUGAGUGGCGAUAGACAAUGGUUGAUGAAAUGGCUGCUCUGCACUCCAAUGGCACAUGGGAUCUUGUUUCUUUACCUCUUGGUAAAUCUACAGUUGGAUGUCAUUGGGUCUACACUGUUAAAGUUGGUCCUGAUGGUCAGGUUAAUCGCCUUAAGGCCCGCUUGGUUGCUAAAGGUUAUACUUAGAUUUGUGGUUGUGACUAUGGUGACACCUUCUCUCCUAUUGCCAAGAUUGCUUUUGUUCGCUUAUUUCUCUCCAUGGCAGCUAUGUGUCAUUGGUCUCUUUAUCAGUUGGAUAUUAAGAAUGCUUUCCUUCAUGGUGAACUUCUCGAGGAAGUGUAUAUGGAGCAACCACCUGGUUUUGUUGCUCAGGGGGAGUCUGGUUUAGUGUGCAAGUUACGCCGCUCUCUAUAUGGCUUGAAACAGUCUCCUCGGGCAUGGUUUGGGCGUUUUAGUUCAGUUGUUCAAGAGUUUGGAAUGCUUCAGAGUGAAGCAGAUCAUUCAGUUUUCUAUCAUCAUAACUCUUCGAGCCAGUGCAUCUAUUUGGUAGUUUAUGUGGAUGACAUUGUCAUUACAAGCAGUGAUCAGGAGGGUAUCCAAAGACUAAAGCAACACCUUUUCAACCACUUUCAAACCAAAGACUUGGGCAAACUCAAGUACUUUCUAGGACUUGAAAUAGCUUAAUCCAGUUCAGGUGUAGUUAUGUCACAAAUGAAGUAUGCAUUAGACAUCUUGGAAGAAACAAAUAUGUUAGAAUGUAAACCUGUUGACACUCCUAUGGAUCCAAAUGUCAAACUUGUACCAGGACAGGGGGAGCCUCUAAGAGAUUCUGGGAGAUAUCGACUACUUGUAGGCAAACUGAAUUACCUCACCAUCACUUGGCCAGACAUCUCUUUUCCUGUGAGUGUGGUUAGUCAAUUUCUACGGUCACCAUGUGACAACCAUUGGGAUGCUGUGAUCCGCAUUCUUCGAUAUAUUAAAGGAACAUCAGGUCAAGGUAUGUUGUAUGAAGACAGGGGUCAUACCCAAAUUGUUGGUUACACAAAUGCAGAUUGGGCUGGUUCACCCUCAGAUAGGCGUUCCACCUCAAGGUAUUGUGUUUUUAUUGGAGGUAACUUAAUAUCCUGGAAGAGUAAGAAACAAGAUGUAGUGGCCAGAUCAAGCACCGAAGCUGAGUAUCGAACUAUGGCUUUGGCAACAUGUGAACUCAUAUGGUUGAGACAACUCCUUCAGGAAUUGAGAUUUGGAAAAAAUGAACAGAUAAAGCUAGUUUGUGACAAUCAGGCCGCAUUACAUAUUGCAUCCAAUCCAGUCUUUCAUGAAAGGACCAAGCAUAUUGAAGUUGACUGUCACUUCAUUAGAGAGAAGAUCGCAUCAGGGUGUGUUGCUACAAGUUUUGUUAAUUCAAAUGAUCAACUAGCAGACAUCUUCACUAAAUCUCUCAGAGGUCCUAGGAUUAAAUACAUUUGUAACAAGCUUGGUGCAUAUGACAUAUAUGCUCCAGCUUGAGGGGGAGUGUUGAAUAUAAUGUAUUUAUAGUGUACAAUCUUUCUUUCCUUUCUUAAUAUAGGUCACAUAUAUGGUAGUUAGUUCAACCUAGCCUUAUAUAUAUAUUUCUCUAUUGUAAGAAGUUAAUCAUAUGAAUGAGAAUUAAGGUUUUUUCUCUCUCUCUUUCAACAAAUAGGAUCAAUGAAAAAGGGCUCGUUGAAAUAGAAGUGUCGAUCCUUGUCUUUCUCAAUGGAAUUCUCCCCCUAAAUAUAAGGAGUGGGAAAAUAAGAAUCAAUUUUGUUGAAAGUAACAGUUGAGACAAAAAAAAAUUUUGGAUGAUGGAUGGUAACACUUAUAUCCCUUUUAAGUUGACAAAUAUACCACAAAAAUACAUUUGACUACUCUUAAGUCCAAUUUUCCAUUGUUUAGACUAUGAACAUGCAUAAAGGACACACAAAUAUUUUAGGAAUGAGAUGGUUUGUGGUUUUUAUAUUAAGAUAAAAUGAUAAGAGUAUUUCCAUAGGACUUUUGAAACCUAAGACUCUGAAGAAUAAUUAGUUUGUGAGAUGUGUGGCAGUUAGGACGACCUCCCCUCAAUAAGAUUUAGGCACAUGUUUUUGGAACAAAAAAAUUCGUGUUCUAUCAAGGAAGUAACCAUUUUUCCUCUCAGCAACUCCAUUUUGUUGUAAGGUGUUCACACACGAUGACUCAUGAAUUAUACCUUCAUGAUGAAAGUAUGAAAUUAGAACUUGAUUGAAAUAAUCUUUGGCGUUGUUAGACCGAAACCUUUUGAUAGUGACACCAAACCAAUUUUUUAUCAUCUUAUGGAAACUUGGGAGAACAAAACUCACAUCAGAUUGGUGUUUAAGUGAAAAGAUCCAAGAGACCCUAGUACAAUCAUCAAUGAAAAACACAAACCAGCAUGCCCCAGAUAUAUUUGGGAUAGGCGAAGGACCCCAAAUAUUAUUUUUUUUAUUGGAAACGACACAUAGAUAUAUUGAUAGAAAAAGAAGUACAAAAGAAGGAUGAGAAAUCCUCCCACCAAAGAAAACUAAACUACAAGAAAGUACACAGUAAAACAAGCGAACUCUCUAGAUUGGACCAUUCCUUAUGGAGUACACACCGCUAACCAGUCAAGUUGUAACACAUUAAGGGAAGUCCCCUUAAAAACCUUGGAACAGAAAGCCCAAAGAGAAGCAAGGAAAACAAUAGAGUCCCAAAGAUACUCUAAAUUUCUUGCUUUAUCCUAAAAAAUCCUCGCAAUUCUUUCCCACCACACAACCCAAAUUAAAGUGAUGCUCGCAGCUUCCACAAUACUAUCCCCCUCUUAAAUGAACCAAAACCAUUAAAUUUGAUGGACAUCAUGUCAAAGAUGCUCCUCGGGGGUACCCAAUCAUCUUGGCUAACUAAAAUAAUUUGUGCCACAACCCAAUAGUCAAGGAGCAACAUAGGAAAAGGUGAUCUGUUGAUUCCCCAUGUUUCAUGCACAGAAUACAAAUAUCAGGACUAAGGGCUUUGUAGGGUCUUUUUAAUUGUAGCAUGUCAUUAGUAUUUACCUUCUUGUGUGCCACUAACCAGACAAAGGACUUCACUUUGAAAGGGACUUGAGAUUUCCAAACGAACUUAGAAGGAAAAACCUGAGGAGAGCCAGAAAAUUGGGAUAAGGUUAGAAAGAAAGAUUUGACUGAAAAAAGCCUUGAAGAAGAUAAAGGCCAAAAUCUAGCAUCUGAAACCGAAGGAGAAAGAUGCAAACCAUCAAGUGACCGCAUGAGGCAUUCUAAGUCCUCUAUCUCAGAGUCUGAAAGGUUACGACAGAAAUUAAAGUUCCAAGAGAAAGGACAAGUAGAACCGAGAACUGAAGAAAUAGGAAUAUUUUUAUCCAAGACUACUCUAAAUAGUCUUGGAUAUUGGGUUCCCAAAGGUUGGUGAAGGACCCUAAAUAUCACUAUGAAUUAAAUAGAAAGGCUUUAAACUUCUUUUAUUACUGUCUGAGAAGGUUGAAUGCUUGUGUUUAGCUAGUUCGUACACUUCACAGUGAAAGCUCUCAACAUCUAAUUUCCUAAAUAGAGAAGGAAACAAGAUUUUAAGAAUUCUAAAUGACGGAUGUCCAAGCUCAUGAUGAUGAAGCUAGAUUUUUUCUUUAUUAAAACAGAGGUGCUAAGAGAGAAGAGAUAUGGAUGAUUCGCUUGGUGUCUCAAGGGAAUAUAGCCCGUUCCAUUCCGUAGCAAGUCUAAUCAUCUUCCCUAAAUUCUGGUCUUGAAAUACACAAUAUGGUAAAAAAUCAAAUUACAACCCAACUCUUUUGUAAGCUUUUGUAUAGAGACAAGAUUAGUAGACAACUUUAGAACAUGAAGCACAUUUCUCAGAGUGAGGGUAGGACUAAUUUAGAUAUCUCCUACACUUGCAAUGGUGGUUAACGAACCAUCAGCUAUGGUUAUUUUCCUAUUGCUUGAACAAGGAUUAUAGUUGUGAAAUUGGUGUGAUGAAUGAGUCAUGUGAUCCGUGGCACUUGAAUCUAUAACUCAUGAAUUGACAAAGGUUUCAUUCGAGGCUUUUAAUCCAAUGGAAAUAGGAGACUUACUUAAAAGUGUCAAUGAGGAAGUACUUGAAAGUUUCUCAAGAGUUCUCAACAAAGUUCUCAAAUUUUCAAUUUCCUUCUAAUUGAAUUCAGCUUGUUUCAAGGAUCUUUCUUCACUAGUUGAAUCGAAGACAAGUGUGUUUGUCCAAUAUCCUUCGGCUACCCUCCAUUGUAACUGGUCGUCAUUUUUCCAAAUUGAGCGGUUUCUUUUUUUCUUUUAGGGAAAAAUUAUAAGACAAAGACUUAAAAAACUCAACUUAAAUAGUCAAGCCUUAAAUACCCACGGGCUAAAAAGUGAAGUCGGGGAGAAACCAAGUCGACAGUCUAAGGUGGCAUCAACCGAUGGUAGCAUCGAGAUCUUAGGGCAACUGCAACGGCAAUAUGAGGCAAAUCCAAGGGGACAACAGUGGCCCAGUGAGAUGAAGACAAUAACUGUGCUGUUGAAGGAGAGAGACGGUUGACUGUGUGUUUACAAUCGACCCACUUCCUGUUGGUGGCAUAGCAGCAGCGCAAAGUGGAGACAACUAUGGCACGAGGAGAAGAUGACAACAAAACGAGGUGAAGACAAAGACAACGACGAGGGGUGACGGCAAGGGCUCGAUCCUUGUUUGCAGCAGUGGUCGACGGUGUGGAGUAGCUUAGGUUUCCAGCUGCUUUCUCGAUAAGUUUCACGAUCAGUUUUUUUUUUUCUGCGUCAGUGAACGGCUCUAAAAAUCGAUAAUGAAAUAAAAACUUUUAAGGUCGACAAUGAAGGUCAACAUUGAACUUGGCAAUGAAGACCGAAGAAAAUUCUUCUGCCAGAUUCACUAGCCUACGGCUUUGAUACCAUGUGAAAGAAGAAGAAUUGGAAGGUAAAUAAAAUAAUUUUUUUCCUUGAUUUCAAUUUGUGCAUCCCAUAUAUUUAUACAAAUAUUCUUAGCACAAAAAAUAGAAACUUUCCUAACAUAAUUCUAUCAAAUCCCCUUGAUUAUGGGGUUUAUUCUAACUCUCUCCUUAAUUACAAAAAUACAGCUAUAACAUUUCCUAAUCAUAUUCUUCCACAUUAUUCAACAACACAUGAAGCAUUGCUGUAUUCUGGCCAUUCUCAAUGGCACAAAAUUAUAGAGCAUAUCUUGCAACAGAAAAGGAUGAAUGGUUUCAAUAAGGUAGAAAUUUUACUCUACUUACUCCCCUCAGCACUGUAGCUCCUCUACUGGCCAAGGAAUUUCAAUUGCUUUAAUUUUUUUUUUGAUAAGUAAACGAUUAUAUUAACGAAGGCAAAAAGCCAAAGAGCAUACAGGAAGUAUACAAUUGCUUUAAUUUUAAAAAUCUAUUAUUUGUUUUAUGUAUUGAAUGUUAUUAUUACAAUGAUUUAUUUUCCAUCUGUAAGUUAGUUGCAUCACUGAAAACAUCCCAGCAUCCCUAUAUGAAGUGUAGAAUAAAUUGCCCAAAUGAAAAGCAGAUAUUUCCCAAAAUAUAUUAGUAUAAUAAGCAAUUCAAAGAUAAAGCUGUCUUACUUGAAGUGAAAAGGAUAGUGUAUUAUUAACAUGGCAAUCAUCUGGUGGGGUAAUCAAAUCCAUUGGGCAUGUCUGACUCUCACAACGGGAUUUUGUUACCCUACAGAUGGAGAGACAAAGGAGAGAGAAUUACAGAAAUGAUUUAAUUGUGGAUGAUUGUGUACUCUUAGCAGUUCCAAGAAAAUGAAGCAGGAUUUCACACUCACAUGCUUGUAUCAUCAUCCAAUGGAGCCUGAAGUAAGGAACCAGGCCCAACCUGACAAGUGCAAGCAGUAGAGGAAAAGAAAUUUACAGAUAGAAAAAUUGAAAGGACAUUACAAAUGAUGUAAGAGACAGUACUGAAACAAGAAACUAAAAUCAUCUGUGAUCAAAACAAACAGAAACAAGUUGAAGAAAGAAGGCAUCGUAACAAGAAAUACAGUUCCACAAAUGCAAAGGUUGUAGUCCUGGCACACAACUCGUUUGUAUGGAACCACAAGAAAUGCAGAUGCAUGCUAAAAAGAUUCAUAUUAUUAAACAAAUACCUUAUCAUAACAUUAAAAUCCAACUGCAAAGUACAAAAGGAAGUGCAGGAGGUGAAGACAAGAGGGUUGCCUUCAUGCAUCAUUAAGAUAGAGAAGAAAAAUAAAAUAAAAUAAAAAGGACCAAAAAGAAAUUAGUGGCAAUGUAAAAUAUCAAAAUACAAGGUGCACAAAGCCAAUACUUCUUAACGAUCCAAACUGAAGGCCCCAAUAAAAGUGAGGCAACUGUCCAAGUAAAAGACAUACUCAUGCAACAUAAUAGAAUAGAACCAGAAAAAACAAACUUGAAACAUAAAGAAUGAUCUGAAGAUGAAGAUGUAACAGAGCAACCAUUUGUAAUGAUCAAAGAAGAAAAAACCAACAAAAAGAUAUACUGUUGUAAUUGUUGAAAUAACACCACAAAAAGGAAAAUAAGAAGAAAAUGUUGAUGAUGUCGAUGACAAGAAUGAUGUCCAUACUUGGAUAAGGCAGUAACCUUGCAAAGUAGAUUAUCAAGACUUUGAAGGAUCAUUUUCCCCUUCUUGUUCCUUAAGGUGAAAGCAGAAGGGAAAGAGUACAAUCUAUUAAAUACUUCAAUUUACUUAUAGCUUUGCAUGUCAUUUUUCACUUACUUCCACAGACAAUUUGCAUUUAUGCACCUUCAUAUUUGCAGAAGGAUUAAAGAAUUUCAGAUUGAAAUUCAGAUUAUUAGCACUUUGGAGGAGUCAAGCAGUUUUUUCCUUCUAGUUCUUUAUAUUGAAAGCAAGGAGAAACACAUUCCAUUAUGAACACCAGUUCAUCCAUAAAUCAAUUAUCCAUACUUCUCAUGGACAAUUGGAAAAAGAAUACUUAUUUCACAUAUCUUUGCAUCAUGCAUCCAUGGUAAUAUUAUGGUAGGCUGCUGUUGAUCCAAGAUUCAAACAAUCUAUUGGCAAUACUGGUCUAUUGAGGAGGAAACUUUCUGAACAUGAGGAAAAAAGCAGCCUCUGGGCAAGCCCAUCAUGUACAGAUAUGAAAGCUGAUUCCAGAGGUGCUUUGGAUUUUCUUUUUUCUGGUUCAUUGGCAAAGGAUUCCUAAUCCUUCCUUGUUAUGCUAACUAUCCCUUUCAUGUUCACAAACAUAUUCCAUCUCCAGUUCUUGAAAGUUAGUAAUAAUAAUAAUUGAUUCCAGAUGUGAAUCCAUUCAUAAAGCUCAUAACUGAUUCUAGAUAUGAAUCUAUUCAUAAAGCUCAUAAUUAAAAUGUACAAAGAAAACAUAAAUCUGUCUUACAGUUAUAUUAUAAAACAGUGACAAGGAAAGUCGCUGAGCUUUGAUUGCAUCACCAUGACCAGUCAACUUCAGAAGUCCCUGACCAUAUACAGCCAAGUUCGUAUUUGAACUAAUUACAGAAUUUUCCUGCCAAAAACAAGGAUUUAUAAUCCCGGUUUCAGAUAUAAAAUUCACCAAGAACAAAGUAUGUCCACAACAGCUAAAUAUGGAUAAGGUCAAAAUAACCAUACCGUUAGAACAAUAAGAUUCCUAACUUCAAGGACAGAAGUGGUAACAACAGUAUUUCCACCACCAUCAAUUUUGAUUUUAGAGUUCCACAUGAGUAACAUCUUCACAGCCACUCUAAAUGCACCAAAAACCUUCACUCAUUUAUAAAAAAAAAAAAAAAAAAAUCACACAAACAAGAAAGACAAUUUAGACCAUGAAUAGAGCAUUGGCAUAUAUUCUACUUUCUGAGGGUGUUACUGCAUAAUUUGCUAGUACUUAUAGAUCUUAAAACAUGAAAUAUAACAUGUACUUCAUGGAGAGAGAACACAAAAUAUUCAGACAAGAUAGGCUGCAAUAGAUUGAAAAUUCUAAGGUGCAUUGUUUAGAGUUCUCAAAAGAUGUAGAAGAAGAAAGAAAGGAAGACAAAAAAAUAUAAUAAUAUUGGAAGCCCUCCUCAACAUGGUCAGUCAACUUGGAGAGAAAAUGUCACUUAUACCCAGCAUGGUCAUGAUACCUGAUCGAUGAAAUGAAGACAACUUUACUGAGGACAUCUGCCAAGAACAGUUUGUUUGUGAUGUAUAGAACAUGAAGCAUUUUUAGAAAAUAUAUGUACCUUAAUGACAGAAUCACUCAUCAAAAGUUCUUCUGCAACAAGCUCAAAUUCUGAGAUUGGAUACUCUGACAGUCCAAAGAUGAUGCUGCCCCCACAGAGUAGUUUAAUUUGACCUCUCACCUUUACAACCAAAAAAUCAAUGGAACAUUAAAAACUAUCCUUAAGAGGGAUUAAAAUCAGAAUAAAUACAAAAAGGUAAAUUGCCUCUAAUAGUUGCUAUUACUUUAUCAUUUUCUACAAAUAAAAAAUGAAUCAAGACGCACAGAUAGCAUCUUGAACAGUUGGAAAACAACUUGAAAGAACAGAGAAAAUAGAAAAUUACAAUCAACUCUAACAUACCAUACUUGGCUAGCUCCUUCCCUUGGCUGAACAACCUACAGCAUGACUUGGCUAAAUGACCUACAAUAUGACCUGCAAAGGGCCCUGCUGCCUAGCUACUUUCUUGGCUAAUGACCUACAGCAUGACUUUGCUAAGCACUAAAUCCAAGAGAAAGAGCCAUCUAAAUGACUAGCAACAUCUACAAUUUGGCAAAGCCACAUGUCAUACUUCCACAGACCACUUUCCUCAGACACCCACAAAAUGAUAAUUGUAGAAUCUCCCUCCACCCAGAGAUUGGAGUCUCAAAGCCGUUGCCCAUACUUUCUGAAAGAGCUAAAAUCUCUACCUUGUAUUUCUUUACCCAAGGAUCAUCCAUCAAAGUUUAACUAUUCAGAACUAUGGGGAACAGGUCCUACUUUAAAUAUAUAUAUCCUCAACAAACCUCCUUCACCUAUUAAAAGGAAGGUUCAAUCUAGCAUAAUAAAAAUCAGAGUGUCCAUAAAAGCUUCAAUGAUGGAACCCCAUAGACAAGAAAAGAAAUCAAACAAGUCCUCAACAGGCACCUUAGACCUAUACACACACACACACACAUAUAAGCCUAGAGCUUUUCUCCUUCAGAUCAUCCAGAUCAAAGUGAAACUUUACAACAGAACCCUACCUCUAGAAACCCCUACGAUGCCUAAAAGAGACUAUCAGCAUGAAUGUCAACUUCUAGGGGAACCCAUCCUAGAAAAUCUGAGCAACCUGGCCAAAGCACUCAGAUAAACAAGCAAUGGAAAAAGAGAUGGUCAGUUGGUUCGCCACUGCCCAUGCAUAAAACACAAUGAUCUGAACUGAAAGCCCUAUAAGGACUUCUCAUCCGUAGCAUAUGAUUGGCAAGAACCUUCACACUGGCUAGUGGCCACUAACAGUAUAUGAUUGCCAUGCAGCUUCAUAUUAGGCACUAAACAGGAAAAAAAGGUCAUUACCUUUAGUGGGUUUUGGGUCUCCAAAUGAAAUGGGCAGCAAAGAAUUGUUUGUUAAAAGCUUUUGCAUAGAGUGUUUUCUCAGCAAGGAUUCAUUAGGUGAAAAUUCUGGCAAAAAAGGAAUUGGCACUGUUCUAUUUUAGCCACAAUCUGAGUGAUUUUGUUAAAAGGAACACAAGUUUCUUGAUGAUAAUCAUGGCAAAACUGUUUGCAAGAUGGGUAGAAUUCAACUUUUUACUUGGUUAAAAGUGUCAUUACCAAGGAGUUUGGUGGAACUCCUUUUAACAUUAUUUCAAUAGAUGUGGUUAUAUGUAGAACAUGGAGUAAAUAGAUUAUCAAAUGCCAAUACAAGUUUAGUUUUGAUGGAUACUAUUUGGGUAAUCUGAUGCAAGCUGGCAUCCAAGGGACUAGCAAAACCUCUAGCCAAGAGAUAAUAAAGAACUUUAAGCUGACUAGUUUUGGUUUACUACCAAGGCUGAAAUUUUGACCUUUCUUGAAGGCUUGAAAGAGGCCCUUUCCUGGGGGAUGAUAUUUUCCCUUUUGAAAGAUAUUCUUCCAUGGUCAUUUCCUGUGCCCAAUACCAAGAGACAUGGCUUCUAGAGCUACAAUCAUUAGAUGAUAGAGACGUUUGAUUUAUCAAAAGACAUGGAAAUUUCUUUCUAUUGGAAGCCUAGAUUAGCUAAUCAAGCAAUUAAUGGAACCUGCACAUGGAAUUGGGCUAAAAAUGAUGAUUCACUAAAAAGUUCUAGCUUGUUACCCUCUGAUUUCUUUUUCUUUUUUUAAUGGGCAAUAAAAGUUCUAUAUAUACAGAAAAGAAAACAGUACACCAUAUACAAUGGGCACCAAAUGGUAAUACCAUAAAAGAGAGAGCACAAAAGAUAGCUCACUCUCUCAACACGACCCCAACCAAUCUACAAAAUCAAUCAAAGACAUUAACCUUUUUUUAUGUGUAACCUAACCCAUGCUAAAAGGUUACUUUUUUUUUUUUAUAGGAAACAACAAUUAUAUAUAUUUAUAGAUAAAGAAGUACAAAAGAAGGAUGAGGAAUCCUCCCUCCAAAGAUAAAACUAAACAACACAAUAAAAGAACAAGAAACUACACUAUGAAAACUACGAACAAGCUCUCUUGGCUAGACCAUCCCGUUGGAACCACAUAUUGCUAGCCAAUCUAGUUGUAACAAGUUAAGGGGAAUGCCCUUAAAAACCACGGAACAAAAAGCCCAAAGAGAAGUAAGGAAGUGAAUGGAAUCCCAUAGAUUCUCUUAAAUCCUAGUUAUGUCCUCAAAUAUCCUAGCAUUUCUUUCCCACCACACAACCCAAAUUAAAGCAAUGCACGCAUUUUGCCACAAAACUAUCCCUCUCUUGAAAGUGCCAAAACCUUUAUAAUUGAUGGACAUCAUGUCUGAAAUGCUUCUCGGAGGAACCCAAUCCAUCUUGGCUAGUUGAAAUAAUCUGUACCACAACCCCAUUGUCAAAUAACAAUGUAGGAAAAGACGAUCUGUUGAUUCUCCUUACUUCAUGCGCAACUUACAAAUGUCAGGACUAAGAACUUUGUAGGGUCUUCUCAAUUGUAGCAAGUCAUUAGUAUUUACCUUCUUGUGUGCCACUAACUAGACAAAGGACUUGACUUUGAAAGGGACUUAAGAAUUCCAUACAAAUUUAGUAGGGAAAGUAUUUGGGACAAGGCUAUAAAGAAAGACUUGACUGUGAACAAUCCUGAAGAAGAUAAAGACCAGGAUCUCGCAUCUGAAGCCGAAGUGGAUAAAUGCAUACAAUCAAGAAAUUGCAUGAGACAUUCUAGAUCUUCUAUCUCUAAAUCAGAAAGAUUACGACAGAAAUUAAAGUUCCAAGAGAAAGGGCCAGCAGAACUGAGAAUUGAAGAAAUAGGGAUAUUUUUAUCCGUGACUACUCUAAAUAGUCUUGGAUAUUGGGAUCUCAAAGGCUGGUCCCCCCACCACAAAUCUUCCCAAAAGCAAAUUUUUUCCCCAUCUCCUACCACAAACCGAGUAUACUUUGAAAAAUCCUGAAAGACUUGUGCAAUAGUCUUCCAAGGACAACAAUGUGACCAUCUGACUAAAAUGUUGGCAUCCCAACCAUUUGAAUGUGUCCCAUAAAUGCUUAGAAUGACCUGAUGCCACUGAGUUGUACUCUCCCUAGGAUACCUCCACAACCACUUCCCUAAAAGAGUGAGAUUCUUUAAAGAAAUCUUCCCAAGCCCCAAUCCCCCUUUUACCUUCGGCUUACACACUACGUCCCAACUAAUAAGAUGAUCUCUUUUACCUUUCCCAACCCCUGACCAAAAGAAAUCCCUUUGCAAUCUCUCAAUUUUUGCAGCCACUGAAACGGGAAUCUUAAACAGGGAUACAUGCUAAAAGGUUACUUAAGAAGAACAUUUCAACUUUUGGAUCCAACUGCUCUUCAUUUUCGAAGGAUCUUCAACUUUUUUCUUUCCAAAUUGUUCAAAAAUGCACAGAGGAGUAAUUCUCUAUAUUUUCUGCUGUUUCUUUCCAAAAAAUGAGUCAUGCUAGCUUAAAAGAGUUUCUCUAACCAUGGAAGGGAGCACUCAAACAAUGCCAAAUAAGGAUAACAACUACCAUAAAACCCUUGUUUUGGCACAGUGAAGAAAAAUGUGAUCAAUUGCUUCUUCAUCAUUUUUACCAAAAAAAUUAAAUAAAUAAUCUAUGUGCCAACAACCACCUUCUUCUAUGAAGCUGAUCUAACAUCAAUAGUUUUCUCCAACUGGAUUCCCAAGAAAAAAAGUUCACGUUAGACAGGACUUGUGAAUUCCAAAUAAUGCACAUUAGAAAGGGCAUUGACCUCCCAACUCCGAAACUGAAUAGAGGGAUUUGAUGGGGAAAAAAAACCCUUUGUUUUUUGAAUCCUUCCAAAUCACCCCAUUGUUUUCUUCCCUCUUCAUCGACUUAUCAUGCAAUCUAACGAAAAAACCUCCCCAACUCUCAAUCGUUUAAGUGUCUAUAGAAGCACGAAUUCCAAUGACCACACCCCUCUCAUCCCAUUAAUCCGCCACCCAAACCUCCUUAGAUACUACUAAAACAUACAAUGAAGGAAAUGACACACACAAGGGUUCCUUCCUACUCCAUUUAGCUUUCCAAAAUUUCACCCUCUUUCUACUACCUACUUCAAAAGAUGCCUCAUUAUUGAAGAGGUCCCAACCCUUCCUAAUAGUUUUCCAUACUCCAACCUUGUACACAUUUCUCAUUUCGCAAGAAUGCCAACCCCUUCUUCCUUCUCAUACUUCCCUAUAUGACCUAUUUCCAAAAAAACUCACCCUUUAGAAGCAAAUCUCCAACUUCACUUUCCUAAAGGAGCAAGAUUAAGAAAUAAAACCCUUCUAAUGCCCAAUCCCGCCUUACUCCUAUCCAUGCAAACAAUCAAUCAUUUCAUUAAAUGUGGCUUUUUCUGCAAAGUCCCAUCUCCCCAUAGAAAAUCUCUUUAAAUCUUCUUUAGUCUCAACUUGAGCUUUCUAGGGAUGGCAAACAAGAACACAUAGUAGAUAGACAAACUAGAUAAUGUGCUUCAAAUCAACGUGAGCACAUUGUCUUUUCCCCAUGGACAAUUUUCUACGAAACCUCUCUUUCACCCCAUCCCAAUACCGAUACUAAUAUGAAAGGAACACCUAAGGGUAGACCUAAGUAAGUAGACGAAAGCUCUCCCACCUCACAACCCAACUCUAUCACCAACUCCUCCACAUUAGAAUCAUUUCAUUUUUUUCUAGGUUUAUUUUCAGCCCACAGAUUGCUUCAAACUACAUGAGAAGCCCACUUAAAUGUACCUUUUGAUUUUUAGUAUCCUCACAAAAGACCAACAUAUCAUCUAUAAACAAUAGAUGAAACACCUACACUCCCUCACCGUUCUUCCCCCUCAAACUAAACCCCGACCAAUAACCACCCUCCCUAGCCCUCUCCAAAAGACAACUCAACACCUCCACUGCCAACACAAAUAGAUAAGGCAAGAAAAGAUCCCCUUAUCUCAAACCCCUAAAGCUCUUAAAAUAAAAACCAAAAAGGGGUACCAUUUACAAAUAUUGAAA
rnacentral:lncRNA from 1 species